CGCCCGCAACCUCACGAAACUUUGCGCGGGCGCGCGACGGCGGCACGGCGCGCGAGACGUACGCACGCAAAGUGCGCGCGCGCGGGAGUUUGAACCCUGAGCGCGACCGGUGGUUUUUUGUCGCGUACACCGGCGUCACGGGGACAGGGACGUGACUAGCUCCAGGCAGCGCGCGCGUCCGCGUCCGCGUCGUCGUCGUCGAUCGAUCGAGCUAGCGACCGGCGGCGCGCGGCCAGCGACGACGCGCGCGCGCACGCACGGUGUGAAAGGCCGGCUUGACCCUAUCUGAGCCUUUACGACCGGUGCGGGCGGAUUUGCUUCCGUCCCCGAAACUCGUUUGGUGCGCGGCUAGCUUUCCCGGAGGAGAAAAAACGGUUACGCGCGUUCACUUGACUAUGGCAAAGUGAUCAGAUAUCGGGAUAUGCAAAGCAAAGCGACGUAGUUUCAUUCUUUGCUGAGAUCGGAGGGAAAAGUGGCAAGAGAUGACCUGAACCGGGCAAAGAACGUGUGCUUGUGAGAUUUAUUAGUGCCUUGGCAGGACAGAAUUAUGGUGUUCCUUUCCUUUAUCCGGGCUAUAGGCUACGUGAACGUGAUCCACGCUUCCCGAGCAGAGAGCAGCUCGAGAUUCACGUCCCGACAGAUUAGAAUGGUUACAAAAAAAACUCAGCUGUUGACCCAAGGCUGGGUUUUGCACGUCAUUUGGGUCCUCAAAGUCACGGCACAAUCAUUUUCAGACCCCCUGGCCCGUCACUCGGGCUAGCUAAGCUAGCCGCGCACGUGUAAAAGUAGCUUUCACUGGUGGAGAAACCAUCUUUCGUCGGUCGGCCGAUUUCCACAAUAGUGCCGGAUGCAAUAAAAACCGGGGCUAAAGAUGAUCUUUAGUCCCGGUUCAAAAGGGUAACGGGCAUAUUUGAUCUUUAGUCCCGGUUUGUGCUACCAACCGGGACUAAAGUUAAAGCACCAACCGGGACUACUAAAGUUAAGAUCUUUAGCCCCGGUUGGUGCUACCAACCGGGACUAAAGAUCUUAACUUUAGUCCCGGUUGGUAAUACCAACCGGGACUAAUGAUCCCGGUGAUCUUUAGCCCCGGUUGGUGCUACCAACCGGGACUAAAGUCCCACCCCUAUAUAUAUGUCUUCUUCCUCCUCCAGCUGCCCGAGCGAGCUUCAAAAUUUCUUCAAAAAAGAGGGGAGGUCAUGCCAAAAUUUCUAUUGAAUUUAUUUUGGUGAUUACAUACAAAUCGGAGGUGCCUAAAAGGUUUGCAACUUCAUCCUCCAAUGUUUUUUUUGUCAUACUACAUUUGCACCUAUGUUUUGCACACUUUUUUUUGUCUCCAAAAUUUAGUUGUAAGUUGAUGAGAGAGAAAAUGUGUGUGGGGAAGAAAGAAUAUAUAGAAAUUUAGUUCAUUUGCUAAACAAGGUUUUAUAAAAUAGUUGAGAAGGAAAACUCUAGUGAAAGUUAAUCUUAAAUAAUAGAAAACAAACUAAAAUGAAAAUUAAAAGAAGUAAAACACAUUAAAAUUAGUUUAAAACUUUACAAAUAGUUUUUAAGAAUUAUUUGGUGUAAUAUUUUAUGAUUUUUGUAUGAAUAAAGAUAUCUUAUAAUUAUUGUAUGACUGUCAUUAUUGUAAGAAUAAUUAUUUGUGUGCGGUUUUUUUGACUCAUGUAGAUGGAUCGGCAAUGGAUGUACGCUGACCGGCGGUCCAAAGAGUUUAUUGACGGCGUGCACUAUUUUUUGAGAGUGGCCGAAGCUAACAGGCAAAGGGGUUUUAUUUGUUGUCCAUGCAAUAAGUGUAAGAAUCAGAAGGAGUAUUCUGCAUCCAGGACUAUUCAUUUCCACUUGUUUGAGUCGGGGUUCAUGCCAAGCUAUAAUUGUUAGACAUCCCACGGAGAGCAAGGUGUUGAAAUGGAAGAAGAUGAAGUGGAAGACGACAAUAUUCCGGACUUUGCUCAGUAUGUUGGAUUUGAAGGAAAUCAAACGGGCGAGGAGGAAAUAGCUGCUGAUGGUAACGAUGUUGCGGAUGAUCUUGGUCAGAUGUUGCAGGACGCCAGGGAAGACUGCGAAAGUGAAAAGGAGGCCCAUAAAUUGGACAAGAUGUUGGAGGACCACAGAACUUCGUUGUACCCAGGUUGCGAGCUGGGGCACAAAAAGUUGGAUACCACUCUGGAGUUGUUGCAAUGGAAGGCAAAAAAUGGGGUUAGUGACAAGGCAUUUGGCGAUUUAUUGAAACUCGUCAAGAACAUUCUUCCGGGGGGAAACAAAUUGCCCGAGACAACGUACGAGGCUAAGAAGAUAGUUUGCCCGUUAGGACUGGAAGUUCAUAAGAUUCACGCAUGUCCGAACGAUUGUAUCCUAUAUCGCGGUGAGGAGUAUGAGAACCUAGAAGCAUGCCCUGUUUGCAAAGCACUACGAUACAAGAUUAGACGGGACGAUCCAGGAGAAGUUGACGGGCAGCUAACAAAGAAGAGAAUUCCUGCUAAGGUGAUGUGGUAUUUCCCUAUAAUACCACGGCUAAGGCGUUUGUUCAGGAACAAGGGGAAUGCUAGAAUGUUGCGAUGGCACGCUGAAGAGCGUCAACAGGACGGGAUGCUGAGACACCCCGCCGAUGGUUCGCAGUGGCGAAACAUCGACAGAAAAUUUAAAGAAUUUGGAAAGGACGCACGAAACAUACGGUUUGGUUUGAGUACGGAUGGCAUGAAUCCUUUUGGAGAGAUGAGCAGCGGCCAUAGCACUUGGCCCGUUACGAUGUGUAUCUACAACCUCCCCCCUGGCUAUGCAUGAAGAGGAAGUACAUAAUGAUGCCGAUUAUUAUUCAAGGCCCCAAGCAACCUGGUAACGACAUCGACGUGUACCUAAGACCACUAGUCGAAGAUCUUAAACAGUUGUGGAAGAAGGAAGGUGUCCCCGUGUGGGACGAGGACAAACAGGAGGAGUUUAACCUACGAGCGCUGCUGUUCGUAACCAUCAACGAUUGGCCUGCACUUAGCAACCUAUCCGGACAGUCCAACAAGGGGUACAAGGCUUGCACUCACUGUAUGGAUGAAACAGAAAGUACGUAUCUUAAGCACUGUAGGAAGGUUGUAUACAUGGGUCAUCGUCGAUUCCUUGCAGCAAACCACCCGGUACGGAAGAAAGGCAAGCACUUCGAACAUAAGGCCGACCACCGUACGAAGCCUAAACAUCGCAGCGGGAAAACAGUGUUUGCUAUGGUUAAAGAUCUUAAAGUAGUGUUCGGAAAGGGGCCUGGAAGCCAGCAUAUAGAGAGCGAAGAUGGUCACGCGGCGAUGUGAAAAAAGAACUCUAUAUUUUGGGAGUUACCAUAUUGGGAAUUCUUAUACGUACGCCACGCAAUCGACGUGAUGCACCUCACUAAGAACCUUUGCGUAAACCUUCUUGGCUUCCUAGGUGUAUACGGAAAGUCGAAAGAUACACUGGAAGCACGUAAUGAUCUGAAGCAUAUGGAACAACGCGGCGACCUUCACCCGGAACCAAAGGAGAAAGGAAGCCAUUACUUGAGUCCAGCCAGCUACACUCUUAGCAAGGAAGAGAAGGAAAGUAUGUUUGAAUGCUUGGAGAGCAUAAAGGUACCGUCUGGAUACUCCACGAAUAUCAAGCGAAUAAUAAGCACGAAGGAGAAGAAGUUCACAAACCUAAAGUCUCAUGACUGUCACGUGUUGAUGACACAACUGCUACCAGUUGUAAUAAGGGGUAUCCUUCCAGACAAUGUCCGGGCAACAAUAACAAAGAUAUGUGCAUUCAUGAACGCAAUUUCGCAGAAGGUCAUCGAUCCGGAUAGAUUAGAAGCCCUUCAGAAUGAAGUGGUGCAAUGUCUCGUCAGUUUUGAGUUGAUAUUUCCACCUUCAUUUUUCAAUAUAAUGACGCAUCUGCUUUGUCACCUUGUGAAAGAGAUCCGUAUUCUCGGGCCUAUGUACCUACACAACAUGUUUCCUUUCGAGAGGUACAUGGGCGUUCUGAAGAAGUAUGUUCCUAACCGUGCUCGUCCAGAGGCAAGCAUCGCCAAGGGUUAUGGAACAGAGGAGGUCAUCGAAUUUUGCGUAGAAUUUAUCGAAGACCUUCGCCCAAUCGGGGUACCUGAAUCACGCCAUGAAGGGAGACUACGGGGAAAGGGAACUCUCGGAAGGAAAGCAAUAACGACGGUAGACAACAAUUUAUUCCGUAAAGCCCAUUUCACUGUUCUGCAACACUCUUCAUUGGUAGCUCCUUACAUCGAGGAGCACUUGGCUCUAGUUCGCGCCAGGAACAUCGGUAAGUCCGAUGCAUGGAUUACACGGCAUCACAUUGAUACUUUCCCCGCGUGGCUACGACAUCAUCUCAUGGGUAACGAGUCGAUCAACCAACAACUUGCCUUCCUGGCGAGGGGACCGUUUGGGUCGAUCGCGACAUUACAGGGAUAUGAGAUCAAUGGGUACACAUUCUACACGAGAGCCCAAGACAUGAAGAGCACGAACCAAAACAGCGCUGUUCGUGUCGAUGCCAUGGGACACGAUGGAACAACUGCCACGUAUUACGGUGCCAUCGAGGACAUAUGGGAACUUGACUAUGGUCCUCUCAAGGUUCCUCUGUUCCGGUGCCAAUGGGUUAGGUUGACUGGUGGAGGCGUAAUGAUUGAUGAUAGUGGGAUGACAACUGUUGACCUUAACAAGGUUGGAUACUCGGACGAACCUUUUGUCCUUGCCAAUGAUGUAAUGCAAGUCUUUUUCGUGAAGGACAUGUCUAGCAAAGGAAAGAAGGGCAGAGGGCCUGAUGAGCCUAAGCGUCAAGUGGUUCUCCCAGGCAAAAGAAAAAUCAUCGGAGUUGAGGACAAGACUGACGAGGAUUACGAUCAGUUGGAUGGGCAACCCCCUUUCACGGUGACGAUUGACCCUAGCAUCCUCCUAUCAAAUGAAGACACCCCUUACUCACGCAGCGAUCACAAGGAGGGAACAAUAGUGAGGAGAAAGUACGUGCCGUAAUUAUUGUGUACACGAUGUAAACUAUUUUGGAUGUAUUGAUUAUCCAUAUAAAUCAAUUGAUGUAUGGCAUAUGUUAAUUACGCACGAUUAUUAGAGGUUUCAACAAGUUUAAAUCAUGUAUAUGCUAGUUAUAUGUGAUACUUACAAUUUUUAAAAGUUUUAAAUCACACAGGUGACAAUUUCAUAUGUAUGUUAAUUAGAGUUUUUAACAUUUAAUUUACUAGCAUUCAUAUGCUAAUUAUAAUUGACUAGAGGAUUUUUAAAAGUUUUAAAUCACGCAAGUGGCAAUUUCAUAUGUUAAUUAGAGUUUUUAACAUUUAAUUUACUAUCAUUCAUAUGCUAAUUAUAAUUGACUAGAGAAUUUUUAAAAGUAUUAAAUUUAAUAUAUUUUUAAAACUAUCAUUCAUAUAUUAGAGUUUUUCACAAUUAAAUUUACUAUCUUUCAUAUGCUACUUAUAUAUGACUAUUCGAAUUUUUAAAAGGUUUAAAUCAUGCAUGUGGUAUUUACAUAUGUUAAUUAGAGUUUUUAGCAUUUAAUUUAAUAUAAUUCCUACGCUAAGUACAUAUGAUGAUUACAAUUUUUAUUAAUUUUAAAUCAUGCAGUAUGUACAUACAUAUCUUAAUUAGAGUUUUUACCAAUAUAAUAAUAUCAUUCAUAUAUAUGCUAAGUAUAUAUGAUUAUUGGAAUUUUUAUUAAUUAUAUUUGCUUAUUACGAUUUAUCCACUUAAUUUAUUACAGACAAAAAUAAUUUUUCGAAGUAAUUGUCAUUAAUCUUUGUACUUUAAAUAAUGUUAAUGCAUUAACUUCUAUUUUAUAAACACGUAUGUAAGCGAAAAACAUAUGCAGUGCUAUAAUCUUUAGUCCCGGUUCUUAACCCUAACCGGGUUUAAAAAGAAUUUCGAAAUAGCGGGAAAAGAUAUUUACUCCCGGUUGUUGAGAACAACCGGGACUAAAGAUAUCUUUAGUCCCGGUUGUUGACAACAACCGGGAGUAAAGAUCUUUUCUUUACUCCCGGUUGUUCUCAACAACCGGGAGUAAAGAUCCGGGGGUAUAUAUAUUCCCGGUGCGCCCUCGUCUUCUUCACCAACACUUAAACGUUUUCGGCCGAUCGAUCUCUCUCGGCCUCUCUCCUUCGCCGCCACUGCCUAGGGCAAAUCCCCGCGCCGACGCCGCCGUAUCUCGCCGUCGUCUCGAGCUCGUCGUCAUCGCCGCCGCCUCCGCCUCCUCCGCUGCCGCCGCAUCUCUGGGGUGAGAGCCGCCGCCGCCAGAUCUCCCUUCAUGCAUCUCGAUCUCUCCGAUCUCGAUCUCUCUCCGUCGCGCCGCCCGCCACGAGACGCCGCGCCACGACGACGACGCGCCACGAUGACGACGCGCCACGCCGCCGCCUUCGACGCCGCGCAACGCCGCUGCCGCAUGCCAACGCCACGCCGCCGCCGCCGUCGCCACGCCGCCGCCGCCUUCGCCGCCGCGCGCGCAAUGCCGCCGCCGCCACGCCACGCCACGCCGCCGCCGCCACGCCACGCCGCCGCCGCCACGGCCCCGCAACGCCACGCCGCCGCCGCCGCCGCCACGCCGCCGCGCCAACCGCCGCCCCGAUGCCGCCACACCGCCGUUAACGAACGAGAACGAGAACGAUCGAACGAACGAGAGCGAGAACGAACACGUCAACGUACGUUGCCGCGACAACGUGAACGAGAACGAGAACGAUCGAACGAACGAGAGCGAGAACGAACACGUCAACGUACGUUGCCGCGAGAACGUGAACGAGAACGAGAACGAUCGAACGAACGAGAGCGAGAACGAACACGAUCGAACGAAGACAAGCGAGAACGAGGGAACGAACGUGAAUGAGAACAAGCGAACGAACGUGAAUGAGAACGAGCGAACGAACGUGAACGAGCUAGGGAACGUGAACGAGCGAACGAACGAGGACGAACGUUAACGUGAAAUGCAAUAUAUAUAUAUAUAUAUAUAUAUAUAUAUAUAUAUAUAUAUAUGUUACUUCGCAUUUAUCCUAAUACAUUUUUUGUAUCUUGCAGAAAAGACGUGUUGUCGGAGUCGUCCGUCAAGCCUGAGUGGAAGAGCUAGCCCUAGAAGGAAUUGGAGCAGGCAAGUGACGUAAUAAUAUAAAUGAUUGUUAUAUUUGUAAUGCAAUUAAUUAAGAUUAUUAGACCUUUAAUUAGACUUAUCAUAUAAGAUUGUGUAGUGUUCUAAUAUUAUUUGAGUUUUAAUAUAAGAUUAUUUUAUUGCAAAUUAGACUUAGUAUGACAUUAUUGACUACGGAAUUGGUGCGACUCCUAGCAAUUGACUAUUGUAGUCUUAAUUAGACUUAGCAUAUACGCACGAAACACUUAGCAUACAUGACUAUUUUAGUCUUAGCAUGUAAUAUUAUUUGAGUUUUAAUAUAAUAUUAUUUUAUUUGUAAUUAGACUUGGUAUGUAAUUAUUGACUACGGAAUUGGUGCGACAAGUAGCAAUUGACUAUUGUAGUCUUAAUUAGACUUAGCAUAUACGCACGAAACACUUAGCAUAUACAUGACUAUUUUAGUCUUAGCAUAUAAUAUUAUUUGAGUUUUAAUAUAAGAUUAUUUUAUUUGUAAUUAGACUUAGUAUAUAAUUAUUUACUAGCUAGGGUUGUAUAAUAUACGUCACCUAGACUUAGCUUAUAUCACGAUUUAUAAUUAGACUUAGCACGUAAGGUUGUGUAGGGUUCUAAUGUACGACAUUUACACUUAGCAUACAUGACUUAGAUUGUUAAAACAUAAAUGUCUCGUGACUUAGCAGAUGUUUCUUGUAUCAACAGAUGGCUGACCGCGAUGAGGAACAGAUAUUGUACGAUACAAUCGCGGAGGGAAGCAGCCAGUACUGGAAUGAAGAAGAGGGGAACGAGGAUCCAAACCAGUACUUGAACGAGGAAGGGAACGUGGAGAGGGAUGCGGAGGGGAACCAGCAGGGGCACGUGGAAAGGGAUGUGGAGGGGAACCAGGAGGAGGUUAGUGGUAAUCAACCCUCCGUUGGACAGAAGAGGGCAUGCGGGCAACGAGGUGCAGCGAAGAAGCUUGAGGGUCGGCACAUCAUAACGGAAGUGGAAGAAGAUGGACGUCCUAGUGCCCCGGCCGAAGCCGCCAAGAACUAUGUACGUCACAGCGGUUGGGUUGUGCGGGAUAACGUGCCUGUCAGUACGGUGUACUGGCGAAGAACAAGGGCACACGGAGAUCAUGAGAGCUUUGUCCCAGAUUCGGAGAAAGAGAUGUUGUGGACCACAAUGCUCGAGACAUUCACCCUUCCUGCUGGUACAGAGGACAAAGUGAAAAGGUGGACUCUGAAGAAAAUGGCAGAACAGUUUCAGAGCUUCAAGGGAGAUCUGUACCAGAAGUAUAUACUGAAGGGGCAGACACCGAACUUCGACACAUUCCCAAAGCUAAGGGAUCACUGGGACGAGUUCGUUGCAUAUAAGACAGAUGAACAAGGGCAGGCGAUGAUGGAAAGAAACAAAGAAAAUGCCGCCAAGAAGAAGUACCAUCACCACUUGGGGUCAGGAGGCUAUAGCGUCGCGAUACCGAAGUGGGAGCAGAUGGAGGCUAGCUUGAUUGAGAGGGGUAUCGAACCGGCAACAGCCAAUUGGCCGGAACGAUCGAAGUUCUGGUACUAUGCUCACGGUGGAACGCUCAACCCAGCUGAUGGCUCACUGGUCUUCGGCUAUCAGAUACGAGAGGCUGCGCGACGACUAACAGAUGCAGUGGAAGCCUCCUCUCAGGGCACGUUCCGACCAGACAGAGAUAGGGACGAGCUGACACUCGCCCUGCAGACUCCAGAGCAUCCAGGACGAACUCGAGGGAAAGGGGUGAUUCCUUGGAAGAUUGGUUUCAAGGAGGACAUCCACACGUACAGGAGUCGGAUGAGGAGCAAGAGAGAUACCGAGGCGAAGAUUGCAGACCUAGAGUUCCGGGUAUCGAGCUACGAACUCAACAUGCAAGAGGAGGUGGCAAGGAAGGUUGAUGAACGCAUGGCCGCACAUCGGUCCCAUGAUCCCCAGCCGACCAUUCCUCUUGCAAUGGUGAGCCCGUCAGGAAACCGUAGCAGCUGCGCCUCAACAGGGCAGGUAGGAUCACAGAGCAUGGACGCCAUGCAAACACAGGACGAAUCGACCUGUCCCGUUGAUGACAUCACUCAGCGGACACCAUGUGAGCUGCAUAUUCCUUUCAAGAACUUAUCAAUAAAGGUAAGAUUUAGCCAUUCCGCUAGUUGCUGCUUAUAUAUGUUGAUUACUAAUAAAUAAUCUCUCACAACAUGAAGGUGGCGUCGGGCAUGGCCAUCCCAACGGACCCUUCAGGUACUUAACACUGUAGGCCGAUUCCAGCAGGAUACUCGAAGGUCGAAGUUGAGUUGGUCGAAGGCGCGUACGAGGACCUCGAGCUGGAUUACCCUGGAGGAGACGGUGAGACGCAUCUACGAGACACAUGCCAUGCCAUUAUUCUAUGGCGCAGGCGGUACAUCAUCCUCCCUGGGCGACAAGCGGCGUCUCGUGCACCAUCUCCUCCGGCUCCGCCAUCUCCUCCUCAGGAUCCUGCACCGUCUCCUCCUCAUGCUCCGCCAGCACCGUCUCCACCUCAGGCUCCAGCAUCGACUCCUCCUCAGGAUCCUGCACCGACUCCUCCUCGUGCUCCUACACCUACUCCCCCGCAAGCUCCUCUUCUGGCACCUUCAAAGUCAGGGGCCCCCCCAGCUCCACCGCCUGCCCACACAAGGGCAACGAAGAAGGCGAAAGUUGACGCCGCCAAGAACAAGGACCCGGGGUACGAUUGCACGCAAGAGGAGCUUGACGCUUACGUUGCAUCAGAAGUCAAGAGACAAUUCAAGCCUCGAAGUCCAGAAAAGAAGAUUCCUAUAGACCCCAGUGUCAGGAACUUCUUCAGGGGUAUGUCUGCAUCUGUCAAGGAGGCCAUCAAGCUAUCGGACUAUGAGCGAACGCUGAAGAAAGCAUCUUUUGGAAAGUCCAAACCAGUCCCUCAGCUUGGAGAGCAACCAAACCAGGAGAUCGAGCCGUUGGUGACCGGUAAAGAAAUGACGAUAGAACAAUUUAUUACUGACACCGGUCUAACUACAGAUCAAUUGCUAGGAGUCGCACCAAUCGAAAAGGCGGAAGUGAAAUACAUGUACGAACUCGGUAAACCGCUUGUCAAGCCUGAGCUGCUGCAGUCCCUACCCACACAAAUGUACAAGUUCCAUCAGCUGUACAUGGAGAUGAGCGCCACCGGUAGAGAGAUGAUCGGAGCGAGGAUCAGGGACACGGGCUUCUUGCAAGGAGAUGACAUUCUCUGGAUCAAUUUCAGGGGAAUCUACGAACUAUACCAGCUGGACGCCCUCGACGUCUCUAUUAUGAGUUGCUGGAUUUUGUAAGUAUAUCGUUCAGUUAGAUUUCUUACUAUACGUCUCCUUUAAUUAAUUAGGUCCUUGUAUAUAAGUAGACCAUAGAAAAUAAUAUACUCCCUUUUAUCGUUGUAGAAUGGAGAUUCAAAGGGCCCGACGGCGGAGGGUUUUCGAUACUGGAUUCAUCGACCCUCGGAAAGUAAACGUCGCAAUGCUCGACCAAUAUCCACAAGAAACAGAGGACAAUCUCGUCCAUCUCCUGAAGGCGCAGCAUUACAAGACGUUCAUACUGUUGCCAUACAACACAGAGUUAGUUUAAUUUUACUGUCUUCCUACAUACCAAAUUUCAUUCCCGUACGAACUUGCUAAGUGUUUCAUAUGUAAUACAUCCCACGCACAUUGCAGAUUCCACUGGGUGCUUUUACUCAUCGACCUGGAGGCCUGCACCGUCAACGUAUAUGAUUCAAUGGAUAAAAAAGAGUCUACGUUUGACAAGGUUUUCGAACUUAUAGACAGGUACCGUCAUAAGUUCCUUUGUUAAUUAAGAAAAUCUUGUUAUGUUAAUUGCUACUACGAAUCAUAGCUUUAAACUCCAUGUAGGGCUUGGUAUCGGUUCCGUCAUUUGGUCCGCGGCAAAUGGAGAGAAAGACUUAGGCGGAAGUUCAAAUUUCCUGUGAGUACACAUGCUCUACAUUUAUAUUUCUCCGAUUCAAAUACAUACAAGUGUAUAUUAAUUAGAUCUCUCGUUGUUUAUUAUUUAUUUGUAGUGCGCAAAGCAAAAGCAGAGAACUAACUUGUGCGGCUAUUACGUGUGCGAGUAUUGCCACUGCCUUGCAGACCAAAUCAUCACCACAAGAGAGCUCGAUGUACGUACAAAUAAAUUCAAAAUUUCAUUACGUAGCGAUUUCUUGUUUAAUUACUAAUCAAUUUCAUACAUUCAUAUAGUUUAUUCGCAUGAGGGAUAACCUGACCACACACAAGGAAUUUAUCGCGGCGGUUCAAGAACAACUCAUGGGAUUCAUCAACGAAGAAAUCCUUGAUCCCAAGAGUGAAUUCUACUACGACGGAAACACAAUUCACCGGUCCUUAGCUUCUGAGCUAGCAGCGAGUACUACUACGUCGAAAUCGUAGCUAGCUAGGACAUAUAAUGGAUUGUAAUUAAUACAUGACUACAUAUGUUUCUAUAUGCAUGUGUACACAUUUUCUAUAAUGUAAAUAUAUUUUGUUCAUAUAUAUAUCUAUAUACAUAUGCAUUUGCAUAACAUAUAUAUGUAUAAAUACAUAUAUAUUAUGCAUGUAUAUACAUAUAAUAUAAUAUAAUAUAUAUAUAUACAUAUAUAUAUGUAUGCAUAUAUAUGUAUUGAAACAUAUAUAUGCAUGGUUUAUAUAUAUAUAUAUAUAUAUAUAUAUAUAUAUAUAUAUAUAUAUAUAUAUAUAUAUAUAUAUAUAUAUAUAUAUAUAUAUAUAUAUAUAUAUAUAUAUAUAUAUAUAUAUAUAUGUCGGUGACAUGGGACCGGGAGUAUCAUGACUUAGAGACUUGAGGCAGACACGAUCACCCACGUGGCCUAACCCCCUCGGGGGGGGGGGUCGGGCCCGAGGGUGAUACGGCCGCCCUUCUCUUUGUCUCCCCGAGGGGUCGGACCGCUCCCGUCUCGGCCCCGAGGGCCGAGGCGCCCCGACCCCUUGUGGGUUUUGCGCCGCGUAUAUGGGGUAGGUGAGCAUAGCGGGGCUCACCUAACCACAUUUAUUGCGGUUUGGACGAGCGCGUCACGCCGCAUGUAACGCAGUGCAGCGCGCUCGUUUAUCCGGUCAGUGACCAGUCACAGACCGAUCAGAUCGUGGGUUAGGUGGCGACAGGCGGUCUGACGCACGCCUCGCCCCAUCCCGUCAGGAUGAGAGCCUCCAAGCACUCGUCCCUAGCCGGAGCCGGCGUGUUAGCUCCUGGAGAUGGCACGUUGGUCCCGGUCAGAUAUAUACCAGGCUUCAUCCUAACCAUUACAAGCAAGACAUUGUAUGAAGAGGGGCGAACAUGCAGAUUGAUAAACUGACGCGUGGUGGACAAGAAUGACCGAUUUGUGACCGGUCUGACACUGAUCAUGUCGUCAGCAGACAGCCAUGUUCCCAAGUCGCGCCUGCUUCCGGCGGAAGUGGAGGUAGGUAUGGGCUGUCCCAUCAGAAGGUCAUUCGGACGGCAACCAUACAAGUCUCCGUCUGUUUAUGAAAAGAUAGGAUAAGUCCCCACAAAAAAGAAGGAGAUGGUGCAUGUGGUAUCCCCUUGAGGUAUAAAAGGAGGACCUUGCCCACUUAGAAGGAGGAGGGAUUUUCGGAUCCAGAACGAUCAGAGAGGAAGAGAGUAAGAGCUCUCUGGUUCUCCAGCUCUUUUGUAGCUUCUUCAUACAUAGAUCCACAAAAACACAGGAAGUAGGGUAUUACGCUUCUCAGCGGCCCGAACCUGUAUACAUCGCCCGUGUCUUGUGUGUUUCCAUUCUCGCGAACCUUCCACACAAAGACUAGGAGCUUAGAAUCUCACCCAGGGCCCCCGGCCGAACCGGCAAAGGGGGGCCUGCGCGGUCUCCCGGUGAGGAGCCCCACGCUCCGUCAUCUGGCGCGCCAGGUAGGGAGCUUUGCGUGUGUUUUUCUAAGCUCUCGCAUUCUUUCGUGUGCGCCAAGCUUUUCCUGUUCGGCCCAAUGGCCGAACAAGCAAAGGCGCACAACCUCUCUCCGAGUGUUAGCGGUGAUGACGGGGAGCCGAACCCACGCCGUCGAGCUCGUACUCCACCGCCCCCUCCACGCCAAAGUCCUAGGCGGGAGGAGGCGCUCGAGAGGGUCGAAGGAUCCGCGACUUCGACAUCCACGGGUGAUGGGGAAGGGCGGCGAGAUGGGGAGCGUCGCCUCCUCGUCUACGGCGACGGCAGCACGCCCCAGGGCGCGCUCCAAGCUGCGGGCGCGCUCCUACGUCACCCGCCCAUUGUGCCUGACCCGGAGGCUCCAGCCCAACGUUGGUUGGACGACGUGGCCAACUUGGUCAUGACGGCACGGCAGCGCCUAGGUGCUGGUGGGCGGUCCUCCGCCACCAAGACCUCUGGCGCUGCUACCACCGGCUCCGUGUCGUCAAGGCGGAGGGCGCGGCGAGCGGCGGCUGUUGCUCGCCAUUCAGCCGCCACUCCUUCGUCAGCGCCUCCGACCCAGGAAGAUCUGCGUGGGGGGCCGGAUGCCCGCAUCAGUAUCGAGCGCCGGCGUAAUGGCCGGCGUGCUGCCCACGCAACGGAGGGCGCCUCCUCGUCCGGAGUGUCGCAUCAACACGGACGCGGGGAUCAGCCCUCCGUGCCCCCGGUUGGUGGUGUCGGCUGUAGAGCCUUUGUGGCGAGCCUUCGGAACGUCCGUUGGCCCCCAAGGUUCCGGCCCACCAUCGCCGAAAAAUAUGACGGGAGCGUCAACCCCGCCGAGUUUCUCCAGGUCUACACGACCGGGAUCGAGGCCGCCGGGGGUGACGACAGGGUCAUGGCGAAUUUCUUUCCCAUGGCCCUGAAGGGACAGGCACGGGGUUGGCUAAUGAACUUGCCACCCGCGUCCGUCCACUCUUGGGAGGAUUUGUGCCAACAGUUCACCAUGAACUUUCAAGGCACAUAUCCGCGCCCAGGUGAAGAAGCGGACUUACAUGCAGUCCAGCGAAGGGAUGAUGAGUCACUUCGCUCAUACAUUCAGCGGUUCUGUCAAGUCCGCAACACCAUACCAUGCAUCCCUGCACACGCGGUGAUCUACGCGUUCAGGGGGGGUGUGCGGCACAACCGCAUGCUCGAAAAGAUCGCCUCCAAAGAGCCCCAGACUACCGCGGAGCUUUUUCAGCUCGCGGACCGAGUGGCUCGAAAGGAAGAGGCAUGGACCUAGAACCCCUCCGGUUCCGGUGUGGCAGCUUCGGCCGCCCCCGGAUCUGCUGCUCGGACAGGGCGGCAUGACAGGAGGAGGAAGAAGAGGUCAGCCCAUUCCGACGACGAGGGUCAUGUCCUCGCCGUCGAGGGCGCUUCGCGGGCCACCCGAAAGGGGAGGCCUGCGAGCGACAAAAAGAAGGAGGCCGGCGCUCCCAGUAGGGAGCGCCCAACCGGCAAGUGGUGCAUCGUCCACAACACCUCCCUUCACGAUCUCGCGGACUGCCGUGCAGUCAAAAGUUUGGCUGAGCGGACGAGGAAGUGGGAGGAGGAGAGGAGGCAGGAGCGCCGAGAGGGCAAGUCCCCGGCGGUUCCUUCCGGCAAUCGGCGAAGUGAGGCCAAGCAGAAGGCCCCCGCCGAGGACAUCGAUGACGGCGAUGAUGACCUAGGUUUCCAAGAGCCUGGGGCCACCAUUGCCACUGUCGAUGGGGGAGCGUGUGCUCACGUUUCUCGUCGGAGCCUCAAGGCCAUGAAGCGAGAGCUUCUGGCCGCGGCCCCUACUCAUGAGGCGACGCGCCGGGCGCGGUGGUCGGAGGUUGCCCUCACCUUCGACCAGACCGACCACCCACCGUGCGUUGCCCGGGGAGGACAAAUCGCAAUGGUGGUUUCCCCCACUGUUUGCAACGUGAAGCUGGGGCGUGUCCUCAUUGAUGGGGGAGCAGCCCUCAACAUCCUUUCCCCCGCAGCCUUUGACGCUAUCAAGGCCCCGGGGAUGGUGCUCCGGCCGUCCCAGCCGAUUAUCGGUGUGACGCCGGGUCACACUUGGCCGCUAGGUCAUAUCGACCUCCCGGUCACCUUCGGUGGAUCCGCCAACUUCCGCACGGAGCGGGUGAACUUUGAUGUGGCGGACCUCAGACUGCCCUACAACGCGGUCCUAGGGAGGCCCGCGUUGGUGAAGUUCAUGGCGGCAGUCCACUACGCCUACCUCCAGAUGAAGAUGCCGGGCCCCGGUGGCCCCAUCUCUGUCCAUGGCGACCUCAAAGUCGCGCUUGCUUGUAUGGAGCAGCGCGCGGACCACCUCACCGCCGCGUCCAAGCCCGAGGGAGGCGACGAGAGGCUUGGCACCUCCGCCCCCGCCGCCCCGAGGCAGCGGAUAGUCACAUGCGACGAGGUUCCGGUCAAGGAGGUUGCCCUGGGCGACGGCCCGUCCAAGACCACACGGAUCGGUGGUCUUCUGGGCGGCAAAUAGGAAGACGCGCUCGUCUCUUUCCUGCGGGCAAACGCUGACGUCUUCGCAUGGAGACCGACGGAUAUGCCCGGGGUCCCCAGGGAGGUGAUUGAGCACCGUCUCGCCGUGCGGUCGGGCGCAAGGCCGGUCCGGCAGAAAGUACGGCGGCAGGCCCCGGAACGUCAAGCCUUCAUCCGCGAGGAGGUGGCGCGACUUCUGGAGGCCGGAUUCAUCCGCGAGGUCAUCCAUCCGGAGUGGCUGGCGAACCCGGUGGUCGUUCCCAAGGUGAACGGCAAGCUUCGGAUGUGUAUCGACUACACCGACCUUAACAAGGCAUGUCCUAAGGACCCUUACCCCCUGCCUCGCAUAGAUCAGAUUGUCGACUCCACAGCGGGGUGCGACCUUUUGUGUUUUCUAGAUGCAUACUCUGGUUACCAUCAGAUUCGCAUGGCUAGGGAGGAUGAGGAAAAAACUGCAUUCAUUACCCCCAUAGGAACUUAUUGUUAUACGACAAUGCCCUUCGGGUUAAAGAAUGCAGGUCCUACUUUUCAACGUACUACUCGAAUUUCUUUGGGUAGCCAAAUAGGACGUAAUGUUGAGGCUUAUGUCGAUGACUUGGUUGUAAAGACGCGCAACCAAGAGACCUUACUCUCGGAUCUAGCGGAAACUUUUGAGAGUCUCCGCUCCGCCCGCAUAAAACUGAACCCCGAUAAGUGCGUGUUCGGUGUACCUGCGGGCAAGCUUCUCGGGUUUUUGGUCUCUGCCCCAGGCAUCGAGGCCAACCCCGAGAAGAUACGAGCUAUAGAGCGGAUGCGCCCCCCCAGCAAGCUUAGGGAUGUGCAAUGUGUCACCGGUUGCAUGGCCGCCCUAAGUCGGUUCAUAUCGAGGCGGGAGAGAAGGCGCUACCCUUAUUUAAGCUCCUCAAACGCUCCGGGCCGUUUACUUGGACGGAGGAAGCUGAACGUGCCCUCACUCAGUUGAAGGCGUAUCUCAGCUCUCCCCCAGUUCUGGUCGCCCCGGAGCCAAUUGAACCAUUGCUACUCUACUUAGCGGCGACCCCGCAAGUGGUUAGUGCGGCGUUGGUUGUGGAGCGCGAUGAGGACAAUCCUCAUUCCGCGCACCCCCACCCUGUGCUGGCUUGGCCCGGGAGAGAGCAGGGAGGAGAGGCCCCCGAGCCGAACGGUGGCCCAAGGCCCCCGACGACCGGAGCAGGCCCUCUGCCCGCUUGUCAGACGGUGCCAGGUGCCCCCGACCCCCAGGAUGGCCCGAGGGCCACUGCGGGAAGGCCGCACCUAUCGCCCUCUGACCCCGAGGCUAACCCUGUGCCGACUCGACCCGGGAGAGAGCAGGGAGAAGAGGCCCCCAAGCCGAACGGUGGCCUAAGGCCCCUGACGACCGGAGUUGGCCCUUUGCCCGCUUGUCCGACGACGCCAGGAGCCCCCGACCCCCAGGACGGCCCCGAGGCCACUGUGGGAAGGCCGCCCCUGUCGUCCUCCGACCCCGAGGUCGUCGGCACAGAAGAUGAGUGCACCCCGCGAGGCCGCUUGGACAAAGAGCGCCCCAGGGAUGUGGCCCCUAGCGAAGAGGAUCGGCCCCACCGAAAGGUGCAGCGGCCCAUCUACUUUGUUAGUGAGGCCCUCCGGGACGCCAAGACCCGAUACCCUCAGGCCCAGAAGAUGCUUUACGCUAUUCUGAUGGCUUCGAGGAAACUGCGCCAUUAUUUCCAGGCACAUCGGGUCACGGUUGUUACGUCUUACCCCCUCGGCCAAAUCUUGCAUAAUCGAGAGGGUACUAGACGUGUGGUGAAAUGGGCAAUCGAACUUUCUGAGUUUGAUUUGCACUUUGAACCACGCCACGCUAUCAAGAGCCAGGCCUUCGCCGAUUUUGUGGCAGAGUGGACCCCAGCUCCCGAGCCCGUCUCAGUCCCCGAGGCCAGCUCGGGCCCCUCACAGCUGCCUCACACCGCCCACUGGGUGAUGCAGUUCGACGGCUCCCUGUCUCUUCAGGGCGCCGGUGCGGGGGUCACGUUGACCUCGCCGAACGGAGACGUCCUCAGAUAUUUGGUUCGCCUUGACUUUCGGGCGACCAAUAAUAUGGCAGAGUACAAGGGACUCCUUGCGGGACUCAGGGUGGCAGCUGGACUGGGGAUCCGCCGCCUCCUGGUGUUAGGCGACUCCCAGCUGGUCGUUAACCAGGUCUGUAAGGAGUACCGGUGCUCUGACCCGCAGAUGGACGCUUACGUGCGCCAAGUACGGCGUAUGGAGCGCCAUUUUGACGGGAUAGAGCUUCGGCAUGUGCCCAGACGGGAUAACACGGUUGGCGACGAACUCUCACGGCUCGCUUCCUCGCGAGCCCAGACCCCACCGGGCGCCUUUGAAGAAAGGCUUGCCCAGCCGUCGGCGCGACCCGACCCCUUAGGGGAGACGGACGCGCCUGACAGGCCCCCGAUGCCCGUCGGAGUCCAGGCCUCGGGACCCGAGGGGAGCGCUCCCAGCUCCCUUAGAUUGAUUGCUUGGAUCGCUGAGAUCCAAGCAUACCUCACAGAUAAGACUCUACCCGAGGACCGCGAAGGGAGUGAACGCGUCCAGCGCAUCUCCAAACGCUACGUGCUGGUAGAAGGGACCCUCUAUCGGCGCGCGGCUAACGGAAUCCUCCUGAAGUGCAUUCCUCGGGAACAAGGCGUCGAGCUUCUUGCCGAUAUCCAUGAAGGCGAAUGCGGAGCCCACUCCGCCUCGCGCACCUUGGUUGGCAAAGCCUUUCGACAAGGUUUCUAUUGGCCGACAACUCUUAAUGAUGCGGUCGACCUGGUCCGGCGAUGCAGAGCGUGUCAAUUCCACGCCAAGCAAAUCCAUCAGCCGGCCCAGGCCCUGCAGAUCAUACCACUUUCGUGGCCAUUUGCUGUCUGGGGGCUCGAUAUCCUGGGACCGUUUAGGCGGGCCCCGGGCGGGUUUGAGUAUCUAUAUGUCGCGAUCGACAAGUUCACUAAGUGGCCCGAGGCUUAUCCGGUCGUCAAGAUCGAUAAGCACUCCGCACUUAAAUUCAUUAAGGGCAUCACAGCCCGGUUUGGAGUGCCUAACCGUAUUAUUACGGAUAACGGCACCCAAUUCACUAGUGAACUUUUCGGCGAUUACUGCGAAGACAUGGGCAUCAAGCUCUGCUUCGCCUCACCUGCCCACCCCAGAAGCAACGGCCAAGUAGAGCGCGCCAAUGCGGAAAUCCUCUGAGGCCUUAAAACCAAGACCUUCAACAUCCUCAAGAAGCACGGCGAUUCGUGGAUCGAGGAGUUGCCAGCGGUGCUCUGGGCGAACCGAACCACGCCAAGCCGAGCAACCGGGGAAACGCCUUUCUUCCUCGUCUACGGCGCGGAAGCGGUUCUCCCAUCCGAGCUCACCCUGAGGUCCCCUCGGGCCACCAUGUACUGCGAGGCUGAUCAAGAUCAGCUCGCAGAGAUGACCUCGACUACUUGGAAGAGCGAAGGCGGCGCGCGGCCCUCCGAGCUGCGCGCUACCAGCAGAGCCUGCGGCGCUACCAUCAGCGCCACGUCCGGGCCCGAUCACUCUGCGUCAACGACCUCGUCCUACGCCGCGUCCAAACGCGUGCUGGAUUGAGCAAGCUCUCACCAAUGUGGGAGGGUCCGUAUCGACUGAUCGGCGUCCCCCGGCCGGGCUCCGUUCGGCUGGCCACGGGCGAUGGCACAGAGCUGCCUAACCCGUGGAACAUCGAACACCUUCGUCGCUUCUACCCCUAAAGGGGGAUCGGGUGUCAGGUUUCGGGCUCGGGCCAACCCCGCACCCCCCUCGGGCGUGCAGGGUUGGCCGGGGGCUACCACAUAUGCAUAUUCUUAUUUCUUUUAUAUCUGUAUUUCAAUAAAAGCAUUUUCGAUUUCCUAAAGGCUGUAUCUGUGCUGUUGUUUCCUUUUGAAGGAUCUUGACUUGAAAUAGGUCACUCGUGUUCAAUCCUGCCCUCGGGGGCUCGGGUCGGCUAAAAUCGCCAAACGGGGCCCAGAACCGAGCCGUGCCCCGGGGCGUGGUGAACUCCGGGGGGGAAUCGGCAAAAACCCACAAUCGGGUCACCCAUAACCCUCGGUCAUCACGCUCCCGGCCUGGCCAGUCUCGACAUGUGGAUCUCCCCAGGCACUAGCCCCGACCCGAGCCAUUUGAGGACUAGGACCUGGGCACGAGCCCUUGUUCAAGCCAAGACACAAAAGGACCGCGGCACAGACCAUCCUCGUCUCAUACACACAACAAAUAGAAUUGACACAAAAAAUUUUCCUCUUUAUUUGAUUGCAGAUUAAAUUAGUCUAUACAAGAAGGGGGCCCGAAGGCCUCGGAAGAAGAAAAGAAGAAACUAUUUAAAGAUUGGCGGGGGCCUGGGGGCUCACUCCGAUGCACCCGGGUCGCCAGCCUCGUCGCCACUGUCGCCCACUCCGCCGUCAUCGUCCUCCUCGUCGGAGUUGAGGGCGAACGCGAGCCGAGGGGCCGAACCCUCGAAGCUGUGGACGAUAUGGUCGGCGGCGUCCCGGACCUGCGCGCGCGCGCCGUCCUCGGUCCCGGGAGGGAACUCGUCCAGCGCCGUCCAUGGGGAGAAGUCGGGAUCCCUGGCUUGGUAACUCGCCAGUACGAGCUCCACCGCUCCUCGGGCGAGGUCCCUCGAGGAUGACUUAAUCGUCCUCUCGAGCUCCUCGGGAAGCCGUUGGAGAGUCCCGGCUAUCUCCGAGAGGCGCUGGGCGAGGCCCCCCUGGUUGGCGGCGUACUUCGCAGUCCGCCCGCCCCAGAGGCCCGCCUGCCGGCCGGCGCGGUCUAGACGGGAGACGGCGUCCCGAAGCAUGCCGGGCCCUACCUCGCCUGCCAAGCGGAGGGCCUCGACCUCCCGGCAGACGAGUCUAGCGCGCCCUGCAGAUCGGCGAUGGUGUGUUCGGCAGCUGCGAGGCGGGCGGUUAAGUCGCUUUCGCCCGCGGCCGCCCCGCCACUGCGCGCCCUCGCGUCCAGCUCCCUCUCCCGCGCCUCGAGCUCACCGGCCCACUGAUUCAGCGCGGCCCUCUCGGCGCGGGCACCUUCUAGAUUACGGCGCGCCUGCUCCUCCCGCACUGCCUCGCGGAGGGACAGGCUGUCCGCCAGCCGUUGCGCCGCGGCCUCGGCCUCCUCGAGAGCUCGCUCCCGCUCGGUGAGCGCGUCCUCGCGGAGGCGGAGCGCGGACUCCUCUUCGGCGCAGGCGGCCUCGUGCGCAGUCAGCGUUGCCUCCCGGAUGGCAACGGCGGCCUCGCGAUCCGCCAGGUUCCUCUCCACGGCACAGGCACGCUCUUCCAGCGCCAUGGCACGGGCCUCAAGGGCUUCUUCGCGCCGCCGGGAUGCCACCUCGGUCUCCGCCGCCCGCCGUUCUCGGGCAGCGGCAGCGUCAAGGACCCCCUGGGCGGCGUCGAGCUUCUUCCCUAGCUCCGCCUCCCAGCUCCCGUAUUGAAGGCGGAGGGUGUCCUGCGCCUCGUUCAUCACGGUGGUGGCGAUGAGGGCAGCCCCCCGCUCCUCCUCCACCUCCUUGGCGAUCUCCCCCAGCACCUUCCGACGGGCUUCGAGCUCUGAGACGUGCCGGCGGUGUGCCUUGCGGCCCACCUCCACCAUGGCCUCCACCGAGCGUCGCCCCUCUUCGACACGCGCCCAUGCGGCGUCGAGCUCCGCCCGCUCUGCUUGCAGGGCCUCCACCUGGGCACUUAACCCGUCCAACACCGUGGUGUUUGCGAUGGCCAAGGCCUGCAGAAGGGGUUCUGCGCUCAGUGGAGCAACGGAAGGCGUGGGGAAGAGCCGCCUCGAAGAGGAUGCUGCGCGGCUUGGCCCGCCGAUGGACGUGCCGGACUCGGGGAUGUCCCCCGGACCUGGUUUGUCCUGAGCGUCGCACGAGGGAGUGGGCCCAAGCGAUGCACUCGCGGCCUCGCCGCGAGUUGCCUCGGAAGUCGUUGUCGCCUCGGCCUGGCGAAGUCUAGCCUCCUCCCGAGCGGCUUCUUCAGCUUGGCGAGCUCGGACGGCCACCUGGGCAGCUUCCUCGGCUUCUUGAAGGCGAUCCACGGCCUCUUGCCGGUCAGUUUCACGGGUCGCCUCGGAGGAUGUCGUCGCCUCGGCCUGGCGGAGUCCGGCCUCCUCCCGAGCGGCUUCCUCGGUCUGGCGAGCCUGGGCGGCCUCCCGAGCGGCCUCCUCGGCUUCCCGAAGGCGAUCCGCGGCUUCUCGCCGGUCAGAUUCCCGCCUCCGGGCCUCUGUGGUCGCCGGGUCCUCGGCCUCAGACUGGCCGGACUUGGAAUGGCGGGAGGGACGCGACGGGAUCUCGCUGAAGCAGAAGAAAAGCCAGAAGACAAACAAGAUGGGUGAAUGAAAACUUGUGUUGGAAGAAUGAAUACAGCCACAAUGGGCGUGGGACGAACCUGCGAGGGGGUCGGUUAAACGACCACCUUGGAGGAGAAAUGAGGUUUCCCCGGGAUGGUUCUGUCCCCCCCAUCUUGCGGAGCCGUUUCUUCUUCCGCUCCCCCUCGGGCUGCGGCGUCGGCGCGGCCCCCUCCGGGCGCCUGCUGCUGACACGCGCCGCCCCGCCCCCUCGGGGAGGAGAUGGGGAGGAAGUACCCUCUUGCUUUCUCUUCCCUCGGGCGUCGGCAGGGCGGCUACCCCCCGAGCCCCCAUCACGGGGCCCAGAAGCACGACCCCCUCCCGGGGUAGAUUGUUCCCCCCUGCGGCUCCCGCCCGAGCCAUCGUGGCCUCGAGGAGCCCGCUCCUCCGACGCCCCGACCGCCUGCAUGAUGGUCAGGAUGUUGGCGCGAUCUGGAUCGCUGCAGAGGGGGAGGACUCCUUGGGGGAUGAGGGAUGCCUCCGCGGAGCUGAGAUUCAGCACCCGUUGGAUCAUUACCUUGAAGUCUUCGGGGACCCAGUCCCAUUUGACCCCCCGGUGGGUCCUCAUACAGUCCUCGGACCCGGUGUACUCCCAGGCAUCCCGGGCGCGCCGCUGGAGUGGCGCGAUCCGGCGACGAAGAUAGUCGCUGUACACCAUGGCCCCUGUGAGCCCCAGGGAUCACAGGCCCGCCAGGCGGUCGAGGACGGCGUCAUAGCCAUCUCCCAGAUCUACCGGCGCCCGCCAGCUGGAGGCCUGCGCCGGGGGCUGGCUCGGAAGACGGAGGCGCGCUUCGUCGGCGAGGGGGGUGUAGAACCAGUCGCUCUUCCAGUCAUCCCACUUCUUGCGGAGGACGCAGGGAAUGUAGCGGUUCAACACCGGCCCCCGCGGCUGGAAGUAGCAACCACCAACCACCGACGGCGGCGACACCGACUGUACGGUGAAGAACCACCGGAACAGCCGAAGGGAUGGGCGCACCCCGAUGAACAUCUCGCACAGGUGCGCGAAGAUGGCCAAUGUCAUUACCGCGUUGGGGGUGAGGUGCGCCAUCUGGAGAUCGUAAAACUCCAGAACAUCCAUGAAGAAAGAAGAAAAUGGCGGAACCAGCCCUGCCAUUGCAAAAGGGAGGAAGAAGACGGACCGCCCCGGGUAGCAUGGCGUCGGGCGUCCCUCGCCCAGCGUAACUAUCUCCCGGCCGGUGGCAGAUUCCGGCAUGAAGCGGCGUGGCAGCCCGGCCUGCCUCUCGCUCACGAUGCGGGAAGGCGGCAGCACGCUACCAUCAAGCAAAGCGGAGCCCCGUGCCAUGACGCCGGAGGAAGAGAUGUUUAAGAGCGAGCGCGUGUGGCGAAGGUAGGGCACAGGAAACAAGGAGUUAGGGCGCAAGCGGCGAAGACAAGGGGAAUAAUGGCGAGAGGAAGGAAGCAAAUCUCUUCCUCGGCGACUUUAUACCCUUGCCAACGCUGUGCCCGGCUCCUCGUUUCUCGCGCCCACUAUCUUGCCCCCUCGUUUCUCGCGCCCACGCUUCCACAAAUCCCAUUCGCCCGUUUGCGGUGCAUGAGGUGGACAUGCGGCUGUGGCAGUCGAGAUGGAACAUCUCGUGCGCGCGUUAAUUACGCUCGCCGACCAAAGCGCCAUCACCAUAUCUCCAGGAAAAACGAACCGGCUUGUCCCGAUUUUUAGACCGGCCCCACCAUGUCACCAGGCCUUAGGAAGUGGCGUCACGCCCGACCGCUUCCCUCGAGGAGGGCGAUCGCCCUGGCAUAACGCCGGGGGCUACUGUCGGUGACAUGGGACCGGGAGUAUCAUGACUUAGAGACUUGAGGCAGACACGAUCACCCACGUGGCCUAACCCCCUCGGGGGGGGUCGGGCCCGAGGGUGAUACGGCCGCCCUUCUCUUUGUCUCCCCGAGGGGUCGGACCGCUCCCGUCUCGGCCCCGAGGGCCGAGGCGCCCCGACCCCUUGUGGGUUUUGCGCCGCGUAUAUGGGGUAGGUGAGCAUAGCGGGGCUCACCUAACCACAUUUAUUGCGGUUUGGACGAGCGCGUCACGCCGCAUGUAACGCAGUGCAGCGCGCUCGUUUAUCCGGUCAGUGACCAGUCACAGACCGAUCAGAUCGUGGGUUAGGUGGCGACAGGCGGUCUGACGCACGCCUCGCCCCAUCCCGUCAGGAUGAGAGCCUCCAAGCACUCGUCCCUAGCCGGAGCCGGCGUGUUAGCUCCUGGAGAUGGCACGUUGGUCCCGGUCAGAUAUAUACCAGGCUUCAUCCUAACCAUUAAAAGCAAGACAUUGUAUGAAGAGGGGCGAACAUGCAGAUUGAUAAACUGACGCGUGGUGGACAAGAAUGACCGAUUUGUGACCGGUCUGACACUGAUCAUGUCGUCAGCAGACAGCCAUGUUCCCAAGUCGCGCCUGCUUCCGGCGGAAGUGGAGGUAGGUAUGGGCUGUCCCAUCAGAAGGUCAUUCGGACGGCAACCAUACAAGUCUCCGUCUGUUUAUGAAAAGAUAGGAUAAGUCCCCACAAAAAAGAGAGAGAUGGUGCAUGUGGUAUCCCCUUGAGGUAUAAAAGGAGGACCUUGCCCACUUAGAAGGAGGAGGGAUUUUCGGAUCCAGAACGAUCAGAGAGGAAGAGAGUAAGAGCUCUCUGGUUCUCCAGCUCUUUUGUAGCUUCUUCAUACAUAGAUCCACAAAAACACAGGAAGUAGGGUAUUACGCUUCUCAGCGGCCCGAACCUGUAUACAUCGCCCGUGUCUUGUGUGUUUCCAUUCUCGCGAACCUUCCACACAAAGACUAGGAGCUUAGAAUCUCACCCAGGGCCCCCGGCCGAACCGGCAAAGGGGGGCCUGCGCGGUCUCCCGGUGAGGAGCCCCACGCUCCGUCAAUAUAUAUAUAUAUAUAUAUAUAUAUAUAUAUAUAAACCAUGCAGCAACAAGGCCAUGCAAAAAAAAAAAGGACAGCUCGAUCUUUACUCCCGGUUAUUUCACCCGGGACUAAAGAUAGCGAUCUUUAGUCCCGGAUUGGUACUCCCGGUUUGGAAACCGGGACUAAAGGGGGGUUACGAAUCGGGACUACAAAGGGUUUCUCCACCAGUGUUUAUAAUACGCGAAGGCGUAUAGUUUAGUGGUAAAGUGCGAUCCAUGGACCGUGGUAGGAAUGUAGGAUAAGCACCGUCCCUAAUCUCAAUACGAUAAGAGACACGAUAGCUGGUCGAUCGUGCCACAGAGGUUAUAUCUAAUUUUAUUAUAUAUAUUUGAAAAAAAAACUAAUUAAUCAUGUGCUUAAACCAUGUGAUCAAGGUGGUGCUCAAAAUUUUCUCGUCGCAAUACGCAGCAAUACUGCUAUAGUACUGUCUAGUACUAUCGGCUGUACCGUUUAUUACAUGUAUGGAAAUAGCACUACGUAUAGUAUAGUAUACGGGAGUAUUGUGCUACACCUUGAUGUAAGAUUUGUUUGGAGGGUUUUUGAUUCUGAAGAGAGCUGUCGGGAAGGAUGAGUUAGGUUGGCUUUUUUUUAGACAUAGGGAAUAUAUUAUCAUGAUUGGUUUUUUAAACAGGGGAGUAUAUGCUAAUUAUGAGUUGCUUUAUUUUAGUUCCCAACAACAGCUUUCAAACACACCUUAAAAGCUAGAAAAUCAACGUGGUGAGAAUUUUAAGAAACACAAGCAUUAGACUAUUUAGGAGAGUAAUGGUUUUGAAAAACACUCCCUCCGUUUUAUAAUGUAAAUCAUUUUAGCAUUGCCUAUAUUUAUAUAGAUGCUAAUUAAUUUAGACAUGUCUAUAUAAAUUUAUAUAAAUGUGGAUAAUAAUAAAAUGACUUACAUUAUAAACGGAUGAAGUAUUCUACAGCUAUCAGAGUAUCAUAAAAAAGGGCAGUAAUGUUUGCCUAUCCGCGAUUACGUGCACCAUCCAUCGUCUCCACGUACGUCGUUCGCCGCAGGGUUCGCACUCGCGGGGCGUGUGUAGAUUCGCGGGCCGGCUGCAAUGGGCGAAAAGCUACGAGUAGAUCAUCGGAGGAAAAAAGGCGCCGGCAAAUCUCGGAACGCGGCGUAGUAAAAGCAAGAAAUUAAAAACAAAGCACCGAGAUCGGCUGACGUCGCCGCCAGCCGCCCCGGGAAGGGAAGCCUCGGUCGGGUCUUCGAGCGCCGUUCCCACGUACUCCGUACGGACGCAACCGCAUGGCGCGCGCGCAUUUUGAGGGCUGGCCGGCGCCGCGGGCCCCUGCCGCUGCCAGUGCCAACGUCGCGGCGUCACCGUGUUGUCCGUGCAGCUAGCUAGUCAUCACUGUAGCUGGCGGAGACUCGCCGGCUCGACGGGCGACGGCCAUGCACUUCCAUGGAGCAGCACCACAGACACCGGCCCGUCGCGCAAUUCUGCGUCGCUAGUGGCUAGUGCUACUCGUCAACUCCGGCUGCCAUCGACGGUCAUUGUCUCACAAACAUGUACUCCCUCCGUCGCUAGUGGUUUUGAGUUUUUUUAGUUUGUAACGUUUGAUCACUCGUCUUAUUUAAUUUGUUUUGAAAUUAUUAUUUAGUUUAUUUGUGACUUACUUUAUUAUCUACAAUACUUUAAGCAUAACUUUUCGUUUUUAUAUUUGCAAAAAUAAUUUGAAUAAGACGAGUGAUCAAACGUUACAAACAAAAACUCAAAAUCCCUUAUAUUGUGGGGACAAAGGGAGUAGUACGAAUAAGAGCAAGUAUAAUGGUGAGUUAUAAGUCUACUAUAAACUUAGAUGGAGGAGAGAAGUAGUGAAAAAUCAAGAGUGUUAGCUCUCAUGAAAGAGCUAACUUAUGAGAGAGGAGAAGAAAAUUAUAGCUAACCUUAUAGCUAAUCUAUUAUAUAUGUUGACUUUAAGAUUAGCUAAUAGUAAGAAGUGAGCUAUAUUAUUAUCUUUGCUAUAAGAGUAUCCACUCAACUAACUAGAUGGGCACGCAUUAGUGCUCUUUGUCCGUGCACGUCACGGCACUAUUGCGGUAGUAGUACUCGCAAAGGGCAGUGGCUACCAAUAGUCGUUCGUUGGGAUGGAGGGAGCCGGGGGCUGGUCGAGCGUGGCAACGGGAAACAGGGGACGACCCUGCAAACGAGAGCGCAUCGUUCGUGCGGUCGUGGAUGUUGUUGUGUUGUGCUGUGCGCCCGUUUGGUCGACAGGCACGGGCGCAUUAAACUCCCAUGCUUAAUUCCCCGGGCCCCACCAGACAGGCAGAUCAGAUCCGACGUGUACGACGGGCGGUCAAAGCCCAGUACGGACGGACCCGGUCACCCACCCGGUGCCGGAGCCCCCGGUGGUGUCGCGGCUGUGGCCUGUGACACCUGUGACACUUCACUGACUCUGAGCGCCCGCAGGACGGUGGGCCCCACCGACCCGCGAGGGUGGGGUCACGUCACGGGGCAGCGCUGCGAUCGAGGGGCUCCGGAUCGACGGACCGGAUUAAACUGGAUCGGGGUCGUCACAAUGGCAGGUGGGGCCCGCGGUGCAGCGCGACGUCACGGGGCGGGUGGGGCCGAGGGGCGUCGUGGGGAUAUCCGGAACCGGACGGAUCAGCGGUCGGGCUGGCGUGGCAAUAUGUGUGGUCCAGCCUGUGCAGUUGGGGGCGGGGGAAGGGAAGAUCUUCUGUAAGCAUCAGCGGUGGCAGUACAGUGGAUGGCAGCUGGAGGUCAGGAUGGGAAUGGUUAAUAUGGAUCGAACUUAAACCAUUUGAAAUGUGUUUAUUGUACCAUGGUUUAAAAGUUUCAAUCUAUCAUGGGUCUAUUAUAUCAAUAGGUUAUCUAUGUAUAUCCAAAUGGAUCAUCUAUCCUCCUAAUAGAUAAAAAAAAGCUCUUAUUGCAUAUAUGUAAAAGUCGGACCUAAAAUUUUUAAACUCGUGUUUACAUAGUAAAACCUUAUCAAAUUUAGUUAAAUUUAUAGAGAUGAUUUAUUAUAUGGAGAAGCAACUUUGUUCAAAUUUUAAGUUAUUUAGACAUGCGGAGCCCACUAUGCAUUACUAAGAUUCAAAGAAAUUCUAGCUACACGUGUGUAAAACUCGGACCCAAAAUUUUUAAACUCGCGUUUACACUAUAAAAAUUUGUCAAAUUUAGUUGAAUUUUAUAUGAAUGAUUUAUUAUAUAGAGAAGCAACUUUGUACAAAUUUUUAAAAUAUUUAUACAUGUGAAGUCAUUUUGGGUCAAACCUCUUAAACCUUAGGUUCUAAGGGCAAGGCCAAUGCUUAUGGUUCCAUCAGCCAUAUAUGUGGGACCCGCUAUAAGUAAGCAUUAGCUAUGUCCAUAUCCACAAUGGCUGUGCCUAUGGGAGAAAAUAAGCUGGGUCCCAAUGGGUCCCACCGAAGGAUAAAAAAAUCACUUCUUAUCCUCCUGUGAAACUCUUUGCACAAUGAAAAUUCCCCAAAAGUACUAGCGUGAACAGCACAUCACAAAAGUAUUGUAUUCUAUAGUUUUGUUACCACACCAUAAGGCUAAUGCUCAUUUUUUAUGUCAGAUUCUUAUGGUCCACUUUCACAAUGCUUAAUGUUAUUUAUUGCUUAAGGUUACUUUUAGCACACAUUGUGGUUGCCCUAAUGGUUUGAGCCGUUUGGUCCAUUUAUAUUUUUUUAGAGCGACCCUAAAAUCCGUUAGGACAAAUUUAUGAAUAGAUUUAGUGAAUAAAUGGAUCGACCCUACCCAUUCCCAUCCUGAGCUGGAGGGUGACGGAGCUGUGUAGUAGGGAUAGCAGCGGCCGUCGGGGCCAACCAGACUCAUGAUCGAGUUGCUUGGCGUCGGGGGAGAAACUCUGAAAGAGCAAAUAGGACACAGAUCUUUUUUUUUUAUAUUGACUGUUUGAUACGUGGGCUCUAUAUCCAGUGAGUUUAUAUGGCAGUGAUCCACAUUAGAGGAUAGUAUUGCACAGAAGACUUAUAUGAAGUAAGGUGUGUUUUUUUUCGAGGUAGUAAAGUGUUUUUGGUUGACAAGGAUAGCUCCGGUAUUCGAAAUUAUAGAAAUUAUAUUGUUCUAUGUUGAAAUUCUAAAUGUAGAAAUGGGAUUGUCUUACAUUUGAACUAAUAAAUAAAUGUACAGAAAAGUAGUAAUACUGAUAUGGCUUUGUCUCGAAUUUUGAAAGGUCUGGCAGCUUCAAAAUAUUACUAGCAUUAUACUAAUAAAUUACAAACAAAAUCUAGGCAGUAUACAGCAAAAGAUGUCUAUUAUGGAUAUACCUCGAGUAGCUAUCCUACCCUAGUACAAAGAAAGUUUAGGUCAUCAUCGGUUACUCAUAAAAAUUAAUCUGUAGUUAACAAAUAUAUGUGUGUUUUCUCAACAAUUUAAAAUGACAAUGCUGAAAAAGUAACUACAUUGAAAUUGUCUUAAAAUCAACUUUAAUUUUAAAGUUUUAAAAUUUAAAUUUUGGAUUUGCUUUGACUUAUUGAGGCAACCAAUGAAGCUCUUAAUUUCUUGAAACGUGCAAAUAUAUGUCAAAGGUAAGCGCAUAUGAUAAAGUGCUCGGAAAGCUAUGGUGUAGAGCUUUCCAAAAUUAUCGUUAGACAUACACAAGGAUACUGAAAAACUUGUGGCGUUGUUUUACAGAUUUAUCUUAACACGGAAAAUAAAUACAAAAUGAAAUUUAGGUACAUGAAGUUUGUGUUCAACAAGAAAAGAUGAACAUUCAUAUGUAGCAAUGGUUGUACGGUAUGUCCGUAACAUGAAUACUGUUUUCUAGUCUUGAAUAUUGUUUUCUACCCACAUCAAUAAUGAAACCAAUUCGAACAGCUUGCGGCAACUUAAUAAAUAUACAAAUAUUGCACUGAUCUAUGUUAAAAAAAAGUUAGCCGCAAAAUCUUAUAAAGCUUGUAUCAAAAUAUGAAACCCAAGGAUCCAACUUCAAAAACAAAAAAAAGAAGAGUAAAUUACACUGGUAGUUCUUAAACUUGUAACGAAGUUUUACUUAGGUCUAUAAACUUGCAAAACGCAUAUCGAGAUCCCUAAACUUGAUUUAAUGUAUCAUCCGGAUCCAAAGCCUCGUUUGACCGUGUCUUACCUACGUGGAGGAUAACAUGGAAUUUUUACUUUUUUUCUCCUUUCUUAUCCCUUUUUUUCUCCUUUCUUAUCCCUUUUUUUUUCUCCACUUUGCCUCUUUCCUCUCCCUUAUGCCGCAUUUUUCUCCACGCGAGGUGAGGAAGGAGAGAAAAGAUGGGAAGAAAAAAAGGGAAAAAGAAAAAUUAGCCAAGUCAUCGUCCACGUGGCAUAACACAUAGGCAAGAUUACGGUCAAACCAGUCUUUAGACCAGGAUGAUACAUUAAACCAAGUUUAAAGAUCUCAAUACGUGCUUUGUAAGUUCGUGGACAUAAUUGAAAAUUCGUUACAAGUUUAAGAACCGCUAGUAUAAUUUACUCAGAAAGAAAAGAAAGUAAACUAUCCAAUAUCCACAAAAGAUCCCCACACCUGAUCACACCCAGUUUAAGCGCCCACACGGCCACACUCCCCUGCCGUUCAUCACUCCCUCCCCAUUUUACCGUUGAGGUCGGCGACCUCCGCGGACGGUACGGCGGGACACUAGCCCGUCCCGAGGGGCAAUCCCGUAAUUUUCGCGCAGUACAGUGCCUCCCAGCGCAGUGGCUUCGCCCCACGCCCUACUGUUUUAAAUCCCCCUGCCGCUCUCCUCCGCCGUCUUCUUCCCCCCCUUCCUCUCCACCACCCCCGAUUCGUCGUCCACCACCGUUCGACGAGUUUCUCGCAGAUCGGGCGGGGGCGCGCCGGGAUGGCGUACAUGUGCGCGGACAGCGGCAACCUCAUGGCCAUCGCGCAGCAGGUGAUCCAGCAGCAGCAGCAGCAGCAACAGCAGCAGCAGAGGCACCACCACCACCACCAUCUGCCGCCGCCGCCGCCGCCGCAGUCGAUGGCGCCGCACCACCACCAGCAGAAGCACCACCACCACCACCAGCAGAUGCCGGCGAUGCCGCAGGCGCCGCCCUCGUCGCACGGCCAGAUCCCGGGCCAGCUCGCGUACGGUGGCGGCGCGGCGUGGCCCGCCGGGGAGCACUUCUUCGCGGACGCGUUCGGGGCGUCCGCCGGCGACGCGGUGUUCUCCGACCUCGCGGCGGCCGCGGACUUCGACUCUGAUGGGUGGAUGGAGAGCCUUAUUGGGGACGCCCCCUUCCAGGACUCCGACCUGGAACGCCUCAUCUUCACCACCCCGCCGCCGCCCGUGCCGUCCCCACCCCCCACGCAUGCCGCCGCCACCGCCACCGCCACCGCCGCCACCGCCGCUCCUCGACCUGAGGCUGCACCGGCUUUGCUCCCCCAGCCUGCUGCUGCGACCCCGGUGGCGUGUUCGUCUCCGAGUCCGAGUUCCGCGGACGCCUCCUGCUCCGCUCCCAUCCUCCAGUCCCUCCUGUCCUGCUCCCGCGCGGCGGCGACCGACCCUGGCCUCGCCGCCGCGGAGCUCGCCAGCGUCCGCGCCGCCGCGACUGACGCCGGGGACCCAUCUGAGCGCUUGGCCUUCUACUUCGCUGACGCGCUUAGUCGCCGCCUUGCGUGCGGCACCGGAGCUCCGCCCUCCGCGGAGCCGGACGCGCGGUUCGCCUCCGACGAGCUCACGCUCUGCUACAAGACGCUCAACGACGCCUGCCCCUACUCCAAGUUCGCGCACCUCACCGCCAACCAGGCCAUCCUGGAGGCCACAGGCGCGGCGACCAAGAUCCACAUAGUUGACUUCGGGAUCGUGCAGGGCAUCCAGUGGGCGGCGCUGCUUCAGGCGCUCGCCACCCGGCCCGAGGGGAAGCCAACGCGGAUACGGAUCACCGGCGUCCCCUCGCCGCUCCUGGGGCCGCAGCCCGCGGCGUCCCUCGCCGCCACCAAUACCCGUCUCCGUGACUUCGCCAAGCUCCUCGGGGUGGACUUCGAGUUCGUCCCAUUGCUCCGGCCUGUGCACGAGCUCAACAAGUCGGAUUUCUUGGUUGAACCUGACGAGGCCGUGGCCGUCAAUUUCAUGCUGCAGCUGUACCACCUUCUUGGCGACUCGGACGAGCUAGUGAGAAGAGUGCUUCGUCUUGCCAAAUCGCUCAGUCCAGCAGUGGUCACACUUGGAGAGUACGAGGUCAGCCUGAACCGAGCUGGGUUCGUCGACCGGUUCGCCAAUGCGUUGAGCUAUUACCGGUCAUUGUUCGAGUCGCUGGAUGUGGCAAUGACCCGGGACUCACCGGAGAGGGUGAGGGUGGAGCGUUGGAUGUUCGGGGAGCGAAUUCAGAGGGCCGUCGGGCCGGAGGAAGGCGCAGACCGGACGGAGAGGAUGGCCGGCAGCAGCGAGUGGCAGACCCUGAUGGAGUGGUGCGGCUUCGAGCCCGUGCCGCUCAGCAACUAUGCCAGGAGCCAGGCUGAUCUUUUGCUCUGGAACUAUGAUUCCAAGUACAAGUAUUCACUUGUUGAGUUGCCACCGGCGUUCUUGUCCUUGGCAUGGGAGAAACGGCCAUUGCUUACUGUGUCUGCUUGGAGGUGAGGGUAGUUUUUUUGGGAGUAUUUGGGGGAAUGUGUGGCGUUGUGAUAGAACCUGGGAGGAAAUAGUUAGGAGAAAUCAUUUUGCAGCUUUUGUUGUAGUUUCCUCCAAAACUGUGUUUAGGAUGAUUGGUAUAAUUGGGAAAUUUUAGCUGAAUUAUCUUGCUCGGUGUUUGUGCUGCUGAAUGUGUGCAUGAUAUUAACUGGUUAGAGAAAAAUUAGUAGUAGUUGUACAGAAUUUGGUAACAGGUUUUAGCUGUGGUAUAUUGCUUGCUCAUGUUACCAGGAUGAGAAAUAUAAAUCUGGAUGCAAUUGUGCAUUUUAAGUAACAGAAUCCAACCACAAGCAAUAUUUAAGUAAUUUUCAGCUCCUGAUAUGAUACUUUUUUGAACAUCUUGUAUAUUCAUAAUCCAACAUUUCAGUCCAUUUAUUUCUUUUGAAAGCAUCUGAUUGUAUCAAAGUGAUCUCUGUAGUUAUGCAUGUACUCCUGGUUUGUCCCUUCAGUAAUGAAGUGUUGUCUGGAACUGGAAAGACCUCUUCGACUAUUCUUAUGAUUUGAAAGUAACCUUAAAUUGUGUUUUUGUAUUUCAUCUGUAUUCAGUUUACCGAUUUUCUUCACAUCUGACAUGUUAUUUUCUUGGUAACCACAUUUUUUAAAGCUCAUGUUGUGGACUGCCGAUGUCUUGCAAUGCUUUAUAAACUCAGCAUUUUAACUUGAUCUAGAAGGCAGCAUCCUCUCUUUUGGCACUUGCCCUUUUCUUCCGGAGCUAAAAUUGCUGUACUUAUCAUCUGACUUUUGUGCAUCUGAACUUGAAAACACUGUCCUAAGUAUUCUUUGCAGAAGAUAUAUAGCAGCUGUAAUUUUCAGGCAGCAUACCUUUCUUGGAUUGAUUUGCCUCAUUUUCCUUUGUUGGAAGCCAUGCCACAUGAGUCGUGACUAACUACCAGAAAUUCAGAAUCAAGAGCAAACGGAAGUUUGCCUGCCCCAAAUUUCCUGUUCCCCACAACACACAAACCUGGAAUUCUAAAUCUACCCCUUGUCUGUAAAUUGUAAUAGCCUGAAAUUCACACUAUUUUGCAGAGUGAGCAUGUCUCUCUUUUAUGAAAAGUUCCCUUUGAAUGAUAUCAACCGUUCUUCCAACCGUUCGUGCUAUGAUCCUGUCGAGGUAUUUCUGUCAGGUUUAACUUCGCUGCAAUCUUAAAGCUUGGAAAGCUUUUUCUGAGUACAUUAGGCCAAACAGAGUACAGAGCACCAGUCAGGCCUGUUUUGGCAAGAUCAUGAACCUGACCACCAGAGAGCUUUUAAGUGUGAUCAGUGCUCGGAUACGCUCGACUCUCAGUUGCGUAAGUUCCCUGGAUCUCGUGGCCACUACUGGUUGUCGGGAGACGAAGGCCUCUGCUUCUCUCCCCACCAGGCACCAGGCCACCACCGGCACUGUCGCACUGAGCCAUUUUCUCUGUGAGAAGUGAAACGCUCAGAAGUGAAAUGGCUUUGUUUGAAAGAGCUUUUAGCCGCUGUAACUUCUUUUAAAAUCCGUAGCUCCUUCAACAGUUCAGAUUUUCAUCAAAAUUCUGAGAAUUGAUAGAUGUAAAACAUAGAAAUAAACUGAAUGUCAAAAGGUAGAAAGCAUAACUUUUCAGAUUUUCAUUCAGCUUCUUAUCAGCAUCUUGAACUACCCAUAGGUGCCAUUUCCACUAGCUGGCCCCAACCGUGCAGUGAUGAUUGUUUCAUUGACUAGUUUGAACAUUUGUUGCUCCAGCCACUGAUCUGGCCGUGUGUUCCUGUUACUUCAUGCAGUCGCUCAAUAAUGCGUUUAUGCCCAUGCUAGUCUGAUAGUAGCAGUUUCCUAGUGCUAGUGGCUCCCAUGAUUACGUCGUAAUCUAUCACUCUCCCUCUUGCUUUGACAAGUGAAAUCUCUUGACAGACUCCAUCCGUCCCCUAAUAUAAAGAAUUUUAACAUUUUGCUUGACCACUUAUCUUAUUAAAAAAUUUAAGCAAAUAUAAAAAACAAAAAGUUAUGCUUAAAAUACUUUGGAUAAUAAAGUAAGUCAAAAAAAUAAUUCUAAUUUUUUAAUAAGACGAAUGAUUAAACAGUACAAGCAAAAUCCCUUAUAUUAGAGGAUGGAGGGAGUAUUAAGGACUCUUUUGACAUAUUUGAUGUUUAGUCCGACGGUGUGCCGUUUACCAUUACCGCAUGUUAGCAGGGAUUCAGAUUGGAUGACAUGGGGUGAAUCUUGGCCCUCCGAAACAAAUCCAACGGCUGAGAUUCGUCCACGUCAUCAUGAGUAAAAGUUUUACUCCUAGUUAAAUUUUUACUCCUGAGUAAAUCUGCGAGUAAAAUGUUUACUCGUGAUGACGUGGAUGAAUGUCAGCCGUUGGAUUUAUUUCAUAGGGCUGAGAUUCACCCUAUGUCACCUUGUGACAUGCCUACCCUAUGUCACCCAAUCCCAAUCCACCUUAGCGGUAAGCACAGUUACUAUGGUAACUGGGUUUACUGUUAGGGUAGGGGAAUGUUAAUCGCAAAGUAACCCUUCCAAAUUUUGAAAGAUAAUUUAAUUUCUUGAUAAAACUUGUCUAUAUUUUUCACGGUUUGUUGUGGUUAUCACAGUUAUGAACUAUUAACUGUGCUUAUUGUCAAUGUCUGGCAAUCUAGCCAUAGCCAUACGGUUCAAAUCAACCGUACGGCUAUGGCUAGAUUUCGUGGAAACUGUUGAUAAAACUGAUAAAAACAGAUGAUAUCCGAACAAAUCUUGUUAUAAAAAAUAAAAUUCAAUUUGUUUUUUGAUUGACUAGAGAAACCGAGUUGUUUGUAUUUUCAACCCGGUUUUUUGUAAACCCAACCAGUGCCUCGUCCAUUGUGAGAAGAAAACACUAACGGUGUGACAGUGAGUGUUUAUAUCAUUAUAUAUGCUGAUUAUAUGGAGAAAAUUGAUAUUUAGCCAUUCUCGGGUUAGGGUUUCGCCAAAAUGCCAUCGCCGAAUGUGGCUUCGUUAUAAUGCCAUCUUCAAACGACUCCAUCUUGCCACACUACCAAUCUACCAUUUCAACCGAUUUUGAUUAUUUGCAAAUGUUUUCCACUGUUUUGCUUAUUUGGUUUGACCCAAAUGCCCUUACCUCAGCCAUGGGGCCCACUUGCCAGGAGCGUCUUCCACCUCUGCCCACCACCAUCCUUCUCUCUCUGGUGAACUCAUGCAACAGUGUUCUCUCUUGACCUCCCUCCUCGGUUGUUCUCGCCCCAAAUUGAAUGCAAAAAUCGGUUCCUCUUGUCCUCAUCAAUUCCCCCAACAAAUCCCACUCAAAUCAGCGUAACUCCGUGGUGUAUUUUGAAGUCCGACUUGAAUAGCAAGCUCCACCAUGACCGGCGUCGAUCUCUCUCCCCGGCGAGGUUGGAGAGCCUGCUCAAGCGGCUGGACGCUGCGGGUGGAGCAGGUCGCUGCCCACAUCGAGGAGCUCAUCAGAGAAGGGGGUGACGCCGUGGCGCGCGGUCCGGUCGAGCACUUGGUGCGCCGUGCCGCCGAGCCGAACCGUCAUCUCCGUCUGCACCGCUGCCUUCCCGUCCCCAGCCAUGCCGCCGCGUCGCCUUCCCUGUUCCCGGUCGCUGUCGCCACCGCCGACAACCUGCGGGUGAACCUGGUGAGCUAUGUUGUCGAGCUGGUGAAUGCGGCGAAGGGCAAGGUGAACAUGGAGUACAUGCGGUUGGUGGUCGACCUCAUGGUGAAGCGCGGUCGGCCGAAACUUCACGAUGGUUCGACGUGGUGAAGGCCAGGUUCGGUGACCUCAACUUCGGGUGGGGGAAGGCGGCGUAUGGCGGGCUGGCGAAGGGCGGGGUCGGCGCCAUUUCCGGUGUGGCCAGCUUCCUCAUCCUGUAGCGGUUCGGCAACGGUCCCGAGCUGCGCCGACGCCGCCCACCAUCUGCAACGAAGAGAGGAAUAGGUACAGAGAGAUGCAAUGGGAACCAAGGGUAUUUUGGUCAUCUUAGCAAGAAAAAAAUCAUUAAACUGAGAAGAGAUGGAUGAAAUAACAUUGCAACAUGUUGCGUCUGUUUGAGGAUGGUAUUUUAGCGAAGCCACAUUCGGUGAUGGCAUUCUGGCGAAACCCCAACCCGAUGAUGGUAAAAUGUCAAUUUUCUCGAAUAUAUGGGCCGUCAAGGAAGACCUCGAAUCCACGGCCCAUGACACGAUGGGCCCUCUCAGGUGGGUGGCAAUCUGUUCCAUCUUCUCCGGCUCUCCAGUGUGCUCUCAACGGGAAACAGGACACAGGCCUUUCUUUGGGAAACAGGAAAAAAAAUGCUAGAACCAGCUGCAAUAUCGCUUAACAAGGUAUAUUGGUGGAUCCAUUUCAUCCCACUUUAUGACCAUGCAAAUUGUUUAAGACAUUUUCUAAUUUACAAUAAUUGUUGGGCGAUCUGCCAUUUAUAGAUCGUCUUAAAUCAUUACAUGGAAAAUGGAACACCUACUUUCGCAGCUUCGCUUCAACAGAUCAAUGCAGCCAGGGCGUCAUUUUGUUUACCGAUGGACAAGGUGACAUGGGUUAAUCCUACGGGUAGAGGUGACAAACGGUGAAAUCUUACACGUGGGAGAAGGAGCCACCAUAUAAAAUAACAAGGACAGUCAAAUGAAACUGGUAAAAAAUAUACACUACUAUAUUAUAUAUAAGGGCAGUAGCAAUGCAAAGCUACGUCAAUGAGAAACCUCAUAUUGCCAAAUAGGAUGAAGCAAUUCAGAACCACACUUUCCAUGGUGCAAGCAGCUUGCUGUGUGACCUAAGAGUAGAUAUUUGCAUUUCAGUCCCUAUUACCUUUAAAUUUACAGUAGUACAAAAUUUUACACUCAACACCCUAAAAUCUACAUAAUAAUAUAUAAUCUCUCCCCAGUCCCCACCUACCGCCGAUUUCUCUCCUCUCCCCACCUACCGCCAUCUGUCCUCACACUCACCGGCGCCGGCGCACCGGGUGGGGAAGCCUAGAAGGGCGGCGGUCGAGGAGCUCCUUGGGCGGCACGGCGACGAGCUCCCUGGCGGCACCGGUCGCUGCCUCUCUGUCAACCCGUCGACGACGCCACCUCCGCUCGAGAUCCGCCACUGGGGCGAUGGCCGGCGGCGUAGAGAUCCACGAGCGGUCGUGGCAGGCGACGGUUGCGGUCAUCGACGGGCUGACGGGAGGGAGGCGCGGUCGUGGCGGGCGGCGGUGGCGGUCGUCGACGGGCUGAUGGGAGGGAGGUCGGCGACGGCGGCAGUGGCGCGGUCGUGGUGGGCCCCGGACGACGGCCACGCUUGGCGCCAUGGCUCUUUGUUCCUAUAGCGAGAUGCGAAAAACCAAUCAGAGCUAUGAGGUCUACUUGCUUUUUCCUCCACGUAGACGAGGUAACGCGCCAUAUACUUGCAUUGUGAAAGACCUAAGGUACCAAUCAGGAGGCUUAUGUACAAGAGUGAAAUUCAUUUGAAGCAAUCAAGAGGCUUCCAAACCUUCAUCAAUUUUUUUAUUUCUUCUAAAAAAAGAGGCUUCCAAUAUUUGGUUAGUUAAUCGACUGAUCAAACCAAGAAGAAAAUAACAAAUGAAGCCUCAACCUUAAGUUCGUACUGGAUUGAGUAACCUCUACAACUAUCUCAUCAAUGAAGUAGUUUCCGGCAAAAUUAAUGUGAGGUCGUUUCUUGCCCUGGACAGUGCACAUACUGAUGAUACGUUAUAGAUAUAUUGACUGGAUAUCUUUAUCUUUACCUACUAUAAGGAAGGCCCUACACGUCGGGCGCCCGAUGCUUCGGGGGAAAAAUCGGGCGCUGACGUCAGCGUUCGAUUUUACGUGCAAAAUUACUUUAAACUGAUUUAUCUCUUAAAUUACUUAUCCAAAUCAUGAUCCAAUUGCACCAUUAAAUUCGUUGCAAUUAAAUCUUCAAAACAAGACCACACAUGGAUAUAUUUUGACGAAAUUUUUUUUAGCUUAUUAUUGAAUUAUUUUUAAACAUUGCACGAUGUUCCACCAGAUAUAUCGGAAUUGUUUCACUAAGUAGAUCGAAAAUGUUUCACUCAUUUAAAUCGGGUGUUAUUUCACCUUAUAUAAAAACAAUGUUUCAGCAAAUAGCGAAAGAAUGUUUCAGUUCACUACACAUUAGAUCUAUACAUAGUGAAACAUUAUGACUACACUAGAUGAAACAUUUUUCGGUGGAACAAAAAAUAAACCAAAUUCCAUUAAUAGGGGGUUUCCAAAAUAUGUGGGUUUUUUUUGCAAUGGAAUGUUUCGUUCAGUGCAACAUUAGAUCUAUACAUAGUGAAACAUUGUGAGUACACUAUGUGAAACAUUUUGGGUGGAACAAAAAAUAAACCAAAUUCCCUUAAUAGAGAGUUUCCAAAAUAUGUGGGUUUUUUUUUUUACAAAAAAGUAUUUUAAUUCACAGCAACAUUAGAUCUAUAAAUAAUGAAACAUUGUAAAUAUACUAGGUGAAACAUCUUUUAUAGAAAAAAGAGGAGCAGAAAUAGGUGGGCCCAAGUAGUCACGUGGAGGGAGGGGGCGCGGGGGGAGUGCCCGAUCCAGCUCCCCCCGCGCCGGGCGACCAGCAAGGAGCAUUUCUAUACCUAAUUAAAAAAUAAGUAAGGCUUCCGGUUGAUUUUUUUGUCCGUCAUUAAAGAGUGGGCCCAUGUGAUUAUUUCGCGGCUAAUCUGUGAAUCCGGAUGCAUUACGGCGAUCUCUGACGCUCCGAAAAAAAAAAGAGAAACGAAAAAAAGAAAAACCUAGCGAGCAGCCCAGCCAAGACGGCAGCAGGCCGGCCCAACAUAAAGCAAACGCGGCCCAGCAGCCAGCCCACAGAACAGAGAAGCAGCAGCCCAGUACAGCAUAGUUAUGUGUGAUACUAUCUAUAUCUAUAACUAAUAUAAAUAUUCGUAUUUUGUUUUCGUCACAUCUAAUUUUCGUCCGUACACAAUCCGAUUUGGUUAGCAAUAGCCAUGGAAAAAAUUGCAAAAAAAAAAAAAUCCGCCGCACCCUGUCAUCGCUACACCGUGCCGGCGAGACAAGAAGGAGAGAGGGAGAGGGAGCGCGGACGUCGUCGACGCCGCCGUUGGGAGGGCGCCGUCUCCGCCGCACCCCGCCGUCACCGCGCUGUGCCGGCGAGAAGGGAGAGAGAAGAGAAGGGAAGCGGUGCUGGUGGGGGGAGAGACGACGCCGGUGGCAGGGGAGGCGGCCGGCUGGGGGGAGGGGGAGAGGCGGGAGAGGGGGAGAGGGAGCGGCGCCGCCGGAGGGGAGGGGAGGGGAAGCGGUGCCGGUGGGGAGAUGGGGAGGGGGAGAGGCGGUGUCGGGACGGGGGAGAGGGAGGCGGCCGGCUUGGCUCGGCUGGGGGGGAGGGAGGGGGAGGGGGAUGGUUAGGGUUAGGGUUCUCAUCAAUUUCAAACUGAUCUGAACCGUCCAUCAAAACGAACGGCUGAGAUCGAUCGAGGGUUUGGGCCGCACCACUUGGGCUGCACCACUUGGGACGCACACGGGCCGGCGGUCCACCAAGUGAGAGGAGGAGUAUGGGGGCAUUAAGUAGACUUUGGUCGCUUGCGGGCUGAAGAAGAAAAUGGGCUGAAAAAGGCUCAUAGAGAAAAAAUAAUUUUUAUUUAAAUAAAUGCUGAAAUGAUAUUUGUAUUAUCAAAAUUAGCAAUUAAGCUAUGUAAAUUCCAAGAAAAUUUCAAUGAAUGUAAUUAAUAUAGAAAAUUUAAUCCAAUCAUAACAUUUUAUUUCUCACACUUACUCUACUUAUAAAUUAAUUUAAUUAUAUACCUACUACUUAAAAAAUACCUAAAUAUGUCAGAAAUUUUGUAUUUCAUUUAAUUAGAAUUUAAUAUGUUUUAAUUCAAUUUUAUCUUUUUUCUUUUCGUUGCAACGCACGAACACUUUUGCUAUAAUUUCAAAGAGUGUAAUUAAUAUUGCAGAAAAUUUAUAUGUCAUUAAAUUAUAAUUCAUUUUCUUCAUAAAAAUAGUUCAAAUCAAAGUUCAGUCACCAUAUUAUUAUCCGGUGCAACGCACGGAUAUUUUGUUAGUCCGUAUAAAGAUUGAAGAUGUUUUUGCUGUAGCUUUUGGUACGUCAUCCGAAUUAAUCUCCGUGUCGAGUUGUUUUUCGCGUUAAUCACCGUUUCCGAUUUCGCAUUGGAUCACAACGCGUGAUGCGGAGGGGUGAAGAUCGCAUCAGACGUGCUUGUCUAACCGAAACGGGCUUGUGCAACAUCUGGUCCUGCCGGUUUGAUGCAGAGCCGGCCAGCCCAUUAACAGCCUAACCACGGCUUUCUCUGUGUAGGUCCUGUUUGGUCAGUCAAACAAAUCUAUAUACCUACCGGUAUUUUUUUGUCCAUUGUUUUUUUCCGUAUGCAUUUUUUUCGCACGGUCCAGCUUUUUUUCCGUCCGACCGGUUUUUUUUCGCACGUGCACGCGGUUUUUUCGCAGGGCCCAGUUUUUAUUCUGUCCGAUUGGUUUCUUUGGGCCCGGUUUUUUCCGGUCCGAAUGGUUUUUUCACGUGGUUUUGUUUUGCCAGGUUUUUCCCCAUCCAAUUUUUUUCCUUUUUUUCCAUCCUAUAUUUUUUCCGAUAAGUUUUUUUGGUGUGCACGGGAUUGAAUCCCAAAUCUAUAUAUAUACCAAAUUUCUACUAUUAUAAAAAUUAAAAAUGUUUCGCCGAUACUUUGGUAUGUCGUCCGUAUUUGAGUCACCUUGCAUGCUAAUUUGGGACAAAAGUCGGACUCCUAAUUAAUUUACAAUUCUCGCCAGACCAUAAGAAACUUUUGCAAAUACAUAAGGAGUCGUAUAAGAAAUCAUUUUAAAAACCUAACAUGCUAACUUGGGACAAAAGUCGGAAUCCUAAUUGAUUUAUAAUUUUCGUCAGACCAUAAGAAAGCAACGUACAAUAUAUGAUCAAUACUAUCAAAAUAAAAAUCCAUAUACUUUUAAGAAAUAAAGUCUAACAAUAAUACGAUUAAAAUAGCCUUCACCCGUUGCAACGCACGGGUAUUUUUUCUAUAUUAUAAAAAUUAAAUAUGUUUUUACCGGUAUUUUGGUAUGUCAUCCGUAUUUGAGUCAGUUUUUAAGUUUGUUCGCUUUUGAAAAAAUAUAGAUCCGUGUUAAAGUCAGAUUUUAAGUUCGUUUGUUUUUAAAAAUAUAAAAGAAGUCGUACAAGAAAUUUCUUUAAAAGAACUUGCAUGCUAACUUGAGAUUAAAGUCAGACUCCUAACUGCAACUCAUGAUUUUCUAAAAAAUAAAUCCAAGCGAAUUCCUAAAUGUCAUCCUAUCUAAACCGUAUAACAAUAAUAAUAUUAAAAUAGCAUUCACCCGUUGUAACGCACGGGUAUUUUUUUAGUCAAGUUUAAAAAUAUAUCUUUGUAUAUAUGUGUAUAGGACACCACCACCUAAGGCUUCUUAUAGGUAGGUCUAUACCUAUAAGACUAUAAGGUAUAAGAGAGUAUAUAAAUAUUUUUACUUUCGCAUGUACUGGAGCACACAAUUACCAAACGUUUGGGCCCGAGAGCACUUAAUUUCACUAGAAACACAAAAGCCCACGUAAAACAUCACAUGGCAAAGUAUGGCACAUGCUGUCCAUGCGAAGCUCCCGUUCCACCUCGUUUAGUCCCACCUCGGAAAACUAGCUUCAGACAGCGCAGCUUAAAUAGCAAGAGCGUCCCACCACCUCCAGCCGAGCUCAGCAGCGCGAGCUUGUAACCCGAGCGGGGGCAUUAAGGUGGUGUGGACGUUGCCGUAUGGCUGCGGGCCUGGGUUGGCAGUGCCAUAGAUGGCCCGCCCGUUCCAAGUUGCGUAGUUGGGCCGGCGGGGCUUGAGCGAAAGCUCUGGCCUCACGUUUCCCUAGAGUGGCAGGCAUUGCGUGAGGCUGGCUUCACAGAGCAGCGAAUACUGUCCGCUUCCAACGGUGGAAGGAUAACGGGCCGCCGCACUGCUGGCCCGCUUGGGUCUCGCAGCCUACUCCAACGGACCACCACUUUUUUUAUUAUUAUUUUCCCAUCUUGUUUGCCUGAAUUUACCUCUAACUGACUUGCUGCCACGCAUGUAGGCCGUCUUUACGGAUCAUGAACACGGGUAUUCUUGAGCGGUAAAAAUCCAACUUGUAUGUAUUUGUACACUUCAUUAUCUAAAAAAGAAUGUAUUUGUACACUUUGUUGUAAACAAUUCGAUGGAACAAAAAAAAACUAAAGCUGGUGAAUUUGUCGUUGAAUCAAGUCCUUUUUAGUUUUUUUUUAGUUUUGCUGAUUGAAGUUCUCUGUUAGGCAUAAUUGGAGCUUAUGUUGUUUUUAGAUUUAAUAUAUUUCAAUUGUUGCACAGACUGGGAUCGCAGGGAAACAUAAUUAUUUAUGCUAAUAUAGUAAACUGGGUUAACAGCAAACUGAAAGCAGCGGGAAGAAGAUCUCAAAUGGAAAGCUUCAAUGUGUUCUUCCUGUAGCCUCCAGUCUCAAUCAUUUAAAUACUACUCCCUCCGUUUCACAAUGUAAGUCAUUUUAGCAUUUCACACAUUCAUAUAGAUAUUAAUGAAUCUAGACAUAUAUAUCUAUCUAGAUUCAUUAACAUCAAUCUAUCUAGAUUCAUUAACAUCAAUAUAAAUGUGAAAAAUGUUAGAAUGACUUACAUUGUGAAACGGAGGGAGUAAUUACAAAUUUAUACUCAUUCUUCUUUCUUGAUGGAAAUGCCAAGUGUAAUACAGGCAGAGCAGCAGUAGUUCAUGGAGCAGGAGGCGUCAGCUUAUUGCCCAUUUUUCUCUUGUUGCUGCUUGCCGUCGACACGCUGAAGCUGUUGGUGUUGUCGUUUGACUUUUUUUAACAGAAAGAAUUUUAUUUAAAAUGAAAUUAUACCCGGCCUCUACAUACAUCCUAGGACUCACACAAGCGAAAAAAAGAAGAAUAUCCUGAGACAAACAUUAAUGUAUCAUGUCAUCAGAUCUUCUAGUCUCUGUUGCCAAAUGUUGAAGAAAUCAGACAAAAAAGGAGAGGCAUCAUUGCUGAAAAGGGGAUCAGCUUGCCUACUGAUGUCAAAAGAAACCGUGCCAUCAGCUCAUCAUCCAGCUUAUGUUGUUCACCAGAUCUCUUAUAAUUCUUGUCACCAGAUCCUUAGACCGGCGAGGAGAAGAACAUCAUAGUUUCUGAAGUCCUGCACUGGUGCUGCGCCACAAGGGACACAAGCAAACCUUGGUGGAUUGCAGAAAAGGUGUGAUUUAGCGAUCAGUUCCGUAGUUAGCUCUCAUAGGAUAAAAAGUGAUAGUAAUUAGUAGGCAAAAUUGGUUAUAUAGCAUCGAAAGUUCACGUUUUUGGUUUUAUAGCACCAAAAGUUACCGGUUCACUUUAAUAGCAUCCAAAGUUCACCCUGUUACCAUUUUUAGCACUUCCGUCAAUUUUUCUAUCCGUCUUGAUCGUUAUUGAUCCAGUCACACACAUGAUAUGACAUUUCUACCUCUCAUUGACAUGCAUUAUACUUGUACUUGUGAGGGGUAGAAACGUCAUAUCGUGUGUGUGGCUGGAUCAAGACGGACGGAAUCCUCCGUUUCACAAUGUAAGUCAUUCUAGCAUUUCCCACAUUCAUAUUGAUGUUGAUGAAUCUAAAUAUAUAUAUAUAUCUAUCUAAAUUCAUUAAAAUCAAUAUGAAUGUGGGAAAUGCUAGAAUGGCUUACAUUGUGAAACGGAGGGAGUACAUAUUUCAAACAUAGAGAAGAUGCAUUGCUACUAUUAUAAGUGCUUAAGAAACAAUGGUCAGUAAAUAUUCAGACUGAAGUUCUCUAAGUUUCAGAUAUGACAUACAUUACUUAGUAAGCUUCUCUUUUCGCAAAUUUUCUGUCGGAUUGCCCGAGUAAAAUUUUCUUUUCUUUUAUAUUUUUCCAAUGACAAGUAGUACUCGUACUUAGUGAGGUUAGAAGUAGACUACUCUUAUGUUCUUACGAUGAAAAGAACUUUUAAGGUAUAAUUUAGUGAUUGUAUAUACAACAUAUUGUGUCUAAAAAGUUCUCAAUAAUCAAACCGUUAAGAAUCGGAAGUACCUCCAAUCAGGGGGCAAGUUCAUCGUGGAACUUCAUGGUUGGUUUAGGGGAGGCCACCGCCGAGAGCCAGAGAUAAAAGAUGGUGUCACCAGUACUCCCUUCACUCCAAAAUAAAUUAAUCUGAUACAAAAUAAAACAUCAUUGAAUAUAAUGAAUUUGAACAAUUAUUCUAUUAUCUAAAAGAAAUGAAUUUGGACAAUGUUUAGUGGGCGCAAGAAAUCUGAAAAAUUGGCUUAUACUAUAAUUAGCUCGGACCAAAUAUCGUGAGCUUUUCUUUUCCUUUUUUUUUAUAGUUUACUCAUUCUCUAUUGAAUAAAGUUGGUAGCUUGCGCAUUAAAAAAUUUAGACAAUGUUUCGUCUUACGGACUAAGGCUAUAUUCUUCUCCCAUCUUUUCCAACUCACCUCUUUCAUGUUCCUUGCACACACUCUUGAAACUGCUAAACGGUACGUUUUUUUCAAAAGGUUUCUACACGAAAGUCAUAUUAAUAUAAAAAAAUCAUAUUAAUCUUUUUUUAAAAUAAUAAUAAUAAAAACUUAAUUAAUCAUAAGAAAAUGCGUCGCUCUAUUUUGCGUACGCGGGAUGUGAGUUCCCAACCUCACCUCCUAAACACAUUCUAAAUUUGUUUCUCCUCUUCCCCCUCUCGUGCUGGGAUGGAUAGAAUAGUCAUUAAUGAAGGUUGAAACUAAGUUUUCUAGUUUUUCCUUUUUGUGUUUGUGUAUAUUGUUCUGUGUGAGGCUCGGAGUCUAAAAACUCGCGCAUGUUUUUGGCAGUAUAUCCUUUGACAUAUAGAGACCGAAUUAAUGAAAAAUUCACUAUUAAAAGUUUUUAGAUUAGUUUAUUUUAGGAUAGGAGUGGAUCUAUAGUUAGCGUCAGCUUUAGGCGACCCGACGACUUCCGACAAAAACUAUGAUUAUACUUAUUCAUAUAUUAUAAUGAUAUAGUCUAAGUAUAAUUAGCAUGUCAUGGUAUCGAUAGAUCUAUUAUAAUACCAAUGAAUUAAUUUCUAUAUCCAUCAUUGUUUUAGGAGAUAGAGGAGAACUGAUAUGACCGUGGCAGAGAGGAAUGGAGCUGGGUUGAUGUGGAUAUCUCCGUGAUCGCUACACCAACACCUCCAGGUUCCGUACUACCGUCCAUGUGCCAAAUUGUGGCGCAAAACCGUACCACUCGGCCACUCCGGCUGUUUCCCGAACAAAAAAUUGUGGCCUAGCCUAGCGUCACCCUCACCGUCCUAGAAAAGCCUUGCGAGCGAGAGAGCGACACGACCCCGCCCGGCCGCCCCUACUCUCCUCCCCGCCUCACCGCGCUGCAGCACGCGCGCGUGGACGUGUCACCCCGCUCCGCUGCACGUGGCCAUAGCCCUCGCUGGCCACGCGCCCCCCGAGCCUUCCAGGCGCGCCGCUCUGCGUACGUGUCCCCUCCUGGUAGAGAACGGCAUCACGGCGCGCCGCGAAUUAUAAGCCGAGCACGAGCACGAGCACGAGCUCCCCUCUCAACGCCAGGGCAAAUGUUACAUCGCGCCUCGCGUCUUUACCCCUCAUGUACUCGCUUCGUUUAGCUAGCAGCGGCAGCACGGGACUCGGCUUCGCGCUCGGCCGGCUCGGCGGGAGGAGUGGCGGCGGCGGCGGCGGUGGUGGUUUAGCGCCCGCGUCGGCGUCGUCGUCGUCGGUGGUAUCCGCUCGCACGAGGAGGACCGUCUCCGUGACGCCCAACGCCGCGGCGCCGACUCCGGGCGAGCAGGGCGUCGCGAUGGAGCAGGGCAAGCAGCAGCACCAGCCACCACCUCCGUCGCAGCCGCAGCCGCAGCAGGAGAAGCGCGGCUCCCGCGACGACGACAUGCACAAGACCACAGGGUACGUACGCACGAGUACACUACGGUUUUGGCGUGAGCGGCUGCGUGCGCCGGAUUUAACCGUGGCGUCUGCGUGUUCGCGUGUGUGCAGGGACGUGAUGACCCACUCUUUCGGGGAGGGAUACUCGACGCGGUCGGACGAGGAAGGGUUCGGUGGCGUGUACGGACAGAACGACCCGGUGUUCAACCCUGGGACCGAGGUGCACCCCAGCCACCCUGGUACGUGCACUGCUGCUAGAUAAAAUUAACGAAUUUGCUAUAUAUUUAUCGAUAAAUUUCCUCAAAAAAUUUGUCAAGAUGCAAUUACAGUACAAUCGUAGUGUAAUUACACUGUAACUUGCAUGUAAUUACACUGUAACUAUAAUGUACAACUUGUAUGUAACUUUCAACAAUCUCUCGGUAAUAUGUUAUUUCAGUAAAAUAGAGGUCAUGGAAACAAAUCCUUUUAUAUAUGUGUGUGCUAUGAUUUUUUUUCUUCCUCACCAGAACAAAUCUUGUAAUAGAUCUAACGAUUCAAAAUUACGUGAAACUUAAAUACAAGUUACAGUGUAAUUACAUACAAGUUACAAUGUAAUUACACUACGAUUGUACUAUAAUUAUAUCUGUCAAAUUUUUAGUAGAAAAUUUGUCGACAAAUGUAUAGGUAGUCCCUAAAAUUAAUUUGACACAUCCUUAAAUAUCCGUCUUGAAAAUAGGUACAUUAAUAAACAUAUCCACUACGAAUCUUGAAUCUGGAAGGAUGUCUAAUGAAGGAUGUCUAAUUUUGUUUCGAGUAAUUUUAUAAUCUUGAGAAGGUACUGUAACGUAUCAAAAAUUAAAAUUUAGUGUAAAAUUUGAUCUCUUUAUAAUUUUACAAUAGAAAAGUGAUACCUCCUUGAGGACUAAAAUUGCCUUUUGUUUUGGUUUAUACCGAGUAGUUGGGAACAGUGGUUACAGGAGGGACGUGAACUUAAUUAUUAAUCUGAAAAUUUGGAUUUUGAUCUCUGUUUUGAUUAAUAACUGGGGUUGCUUUGGUUGUACUGCGAUGUGUGCAGAGUACGACACGUCGCAGGGGUCGGAGGUGAAGGAGAAGGAGAAGGCGCGCCACCAUAAGGACGACAAGCACGCGACCUAAGCCUAGCAGUUGGGGGCUGGAUUAGGUCCUAAUCGUAGUUUAGUCGGGCAUGACGGGGAUCACCCCCAUCAUCACCUGUGCAUCCACGUUGCCCUAUCUUUGAUGGGCACUAGUUGUAUCUUUUGCUUCUGAACUGUUUUGAUGCAUUUGUUUUAUUCCUUAGAUGUGAUGUAAAAUCUCUACAGUACUUAAUUAGCUAUGUACUGGUACUGUGAGUUCUCCAGCGCUUGUGUCUCCUGGUGUGUGUGAUCAUGUAAUGAUGAGUCGAUUCAUAUAUAUACUCCCUCCUCCUCCGUCAUCCCUUCUAUAGGAUUUUCAAAAAACAUCCCUUCUAUAGGAUUUGUAUAAUAAAUCUGUAAUAAAAGAGAUUUUAGGUGGCUUGGAUAUAUUCUGAUUUUAGGUGGAUUGGAUAUAUUCUAGUAUAAUUAAUUUAGGCAGAUAGUUUUUAAAUUUAUUGUAUUUUUAAAUUUAUUGUAUUGGGACGUGUUACGUUCAUAAAAAUCCCUUAUAAGAUCGAAACGGACAUACCAGAUGAGCUACGGCAGAUUCACAAAAAUCCCUUAUAAUUUAGGCUUAAGUGCGCUCCAUGUGAGGCCGCCGCUCUAAUUCGACCGACGACUCUUUAGGGCUCGAAGCUUCUGUAUCGUGAGCCUUUUGGGAAGGGACUCAAGGAGUGAUGGGCUACUCGCUAUAUUCUUCUCGAAAUACUACAUCCAUACUAAAAUGUAAUAAUUUUUAGCUAAACGUAUAACUUUUAGUUAUAAAUCUGAACACAUAAUUAUCUAGAUUCAUAGCUAAAAAUACAUAUUCAUAGCUAAAAUAAUUAAAUGUCCUAAAUGUAACAACUUUUAGCUAUGAAACUUUUAGCUAUGAAUCUGAACUUAGCUAUGAAUCUGAACGUGAACUUAGCUUUUUAGCUAUGAAUCUGAACUUAGCUAUGAAUCUGAACGUGAACUUAGCUAUGAAUCUGAACGUAAAGUUGUUUAUAUUCAUAGCUAAAAAUACUUAAAUUUUAGAUUUUAGGACGGGGGAGUAAGUCGUUAAUGGGCCUCUAUGACACCUAAGAAGCAUUUUCUUCUCGAAAUAAGUGGUGUUUGGAUAAGGGACUAAACUUCAGUACCUUACUCUGGCAAUCCAUGUUUAUGUACCGAGAGAAAAAA
rnacentral:lncRNA from 1 species